rnacentral:lncRNA from 1 species
GAUGAUGCUUUGUGGGCUGCGUCUCCCGAAGGACGCUUUUAGUCGUCGCCCUGCGUCUCCCUUAGGACGCUUUUUAUGGACAACUUUUUGACUAUCCUGCCUCCCUUAGGAAACGGAUAGGAACCUGGAUAUUUCCCACAGAGAGCAUGGUGACCCCCUUUUAAGAAACUCCUGGCGCACCCUGCGUCUCCCUUAGGACGCUGUUUUGCAGGCUGCGUCUCCCGAAUGACGCUUUUGAUCGUCGCCCUGCGUCUCCCUUAGGACGCUUUUUAUGGGCAACUGUUUGGCUAUCCUGCCCCCCUUAGGAAACGGAUAGGAACCUGGAUACCUCCCUUAGGAAAUUCCUGGCGCACCCUGCAACCCCUUAGGAUGCUGCUUUGCGGGCUGCGUCUCCCGAAGGAAGCUUUGGUUGUCGCCCUGCGUCUCCCUUAAGACGCUUUUUAUGGGCAACUGUUUGGCUAUCCUGCCUCCCUUAGGAAACGGAUAGGAACCUGGAUACCUCCCUUAGGAAAUUCCUGGCGCACCCUGCGUCUCCCUUAGGACGCUUAUUUGCGGGCUGCGUCUCCCGAAGGACGCUUCUAGUUGUCGCCCUGCGUCUCCCGAAGGACGCUACUUAUGGGCAACUGUCUUUUGUUGCGGCACAUUCUAAAAUUUGCAGUAGUUGCUUCUCUUUUUCAAAAAUGCGCAGUACUCAGUCGUCUGCUGGGGACUGAGCAGGUAGGAGGAAGCAUCAUGGAUAGUAUCUUUGGAGGUGGUAGGCGUUCCAUUGUCGCGGAAUCUCCUUCCCUUCCAUGGUGUCAAGCAUAUAGCUUCCUCUGCCCCCGGACCGGCUGAUUAUGUAAGGGCCUUCCCAAUUGGGUUUCAUCUUUUUAGACCUUUGUCUUUGUGCAGUGAUGAAGGCCUUUCUUAGCACAAGGUCGCCUGGUUGAAACUGUCUGAUCUUGGCUUUUUUGUCAUAGUAAGACUUCAACCGCUGUUGAUAGGAGGCGACUCGGACAAUGGCCUUCUCGUGCUCACCUUCAAGUAAGUCAAGGUUGAGUCUCAUCUGCUCGGAGUUCUGCUCAAUACUGCCCACUUCGAUGCCUAUAGAGGGGACAAUGAUGUGAGGAUGAAUGAUCGCUUUAGUUCCAUUGGCGAGGGAAAACGGGGUUUCACCAGUUGAUCUUCGCUUGGUGGUGCGAUAAGCCCAUAGUACGCCAGGGAGCUCAUUUACCCAUUUUCCUUCGGCGCCUUCUAAUCUCUUCUUUAGACAGUCCAAUAUUAUUUUAUUGGAUGCCUCGGCCUGGCCGUUGCCUUGAGGAUAUCUUGGGGUAGAUAGAUGCUGCUUGAUGCCAUACUUUUUGAAGAAGGUAGUGAUCUGCUUGCCGAUGAAUUGCGAACCAUUGUCGGUAACUAGUGAUUGUGGGCAGCCAAACCGGUAGAUAAUGUUUCUCCAGAUAAAUCGUUCCACAUUAUCUUCUUUAGUAGAAGAUAGAGCUUCGGCCUCGAUUCAUUUAGUAAAGUAAUCAGUGGCGACGAUCAUCAUUUCUUUCUUGGCAGGUGCCGUUGGCAUAGGGCCUACUAAGUCAAUGGCCCAUUGCAUGAAAGGCCACGAAUUGUUCUGCGGAUGGUAGAUUUCGGCAGGCAGAUUAGGAACUGGUUUGUACCGUUGGCAGCGAUCACAUCUUUUGACAUAUUCAGUGGAGUCAUGGCGCAUAGUAGGCCAGAAAUAGCCUACGUUUAGAGCCUUCUGGGCGAGUGACCUGCCCCCAGAGUGGUUGCCACACUCGCCGUCAUGAAUUUUGCAGAGGACCUCAAGUGUUUGAGGGUACUUUAUGCAAGUGAGAUGAGGGCCGCAGUAUGAUCUGCAAAUGAGCUUGUCGCCCUGCAUGUAAUAUCUCGCGGCUUUCUGUUGGACCUUCCUAACUUCGGACUUAUCCGUUGGCAGAUUUCCAUUCACUAAGUAGUCGAUGAUGGGGUCUUGCCAGCUGGGGUCUUCAUCGAUCUGCAUUGAGUCGAUUGGCUCUAUUUCUUCGAUGCUUGGUCGGUCAAAGUGUUUGACUGGGAUGGAGCGUCUGAACUGGCUGUCCAGCGUUGAUCCUAGGCUUGCCAACGCAUCUGCAUGAGUGUUCUCUGCCCGUGGAACUUGUUAGAUGGUGAAAGUAGGAAAUUCUUUCAGAAGCCCUUGGACUUUGUUGAGGUACUGGAUCAUUCUUGGAUGCUUUGCCAUGUACUCGCCUGAGGCUUGAUUCGUGAUCAGCUGGGAGCCUGAGUAGAUGGCUAAUCUCUUGAUCGUCAGUUCUUUUGCUAGGCGCAGUCCUGCGAGCAAUGCCUCAUAUUCUGCCUCGUUGUUUGAAGCAGAAAAGCCUAGUGUGAUGGCUUGUUCCAACAAGGAUCCGUCUGGGGUGAUUAUGACGACGCCUGCCCCUGAUCCUUUAUGAUUUGAUGCUCCGUCUACAUGCAAUUGCCACAUGUCGUUAGGUAGGUUUGAAUCGGCAAGGGAGGUGUCGUCUGCUUUUUCCUUGCUUUUCGUGACCAUCUUCUCUUCUUCGGCUGUCGGAGUAAACUCUACAACAAAAUCUGCUAAAGCUUGGGCUUUUAUAGCAGUCUUCGGCCUAUAGAGGAGGUCGUAUUGACUGAGUUCGAUAGCCCAUUUCAUGAGUCGCUGAGAAGCGUCGGGGCUGUGGAGGAUCGAUCUCAAAGGAAAUUCUGUCAUGACAAUUAUCCGGUUGCUUGGUAGUAGGGCCUUAGUUUUCUCGCGGAAACUACAAGGGAAAAAAUGAGCUUCUCCAUUUUCGGAUAGCGAGUCUCUGCAUCGAGGAGAGCUUUUGAAGUGUAGAAUACCGGAUGUUGUGCCCCUAGCUUUUCUCAGAUGAGAGCUGAGCUGACAGCUGAGUCGGACACUGCCAAGUAGAUGUACAAGUCUUCGCCUGGUAUCGAUUUUGAGAGUAUGGGAGGUGAAGUGAGGUAGGUUUUCAAGUUUUGAAAAGCUAUUUCGCACUCGUCAUCCCACUUGUCCCUGUGUCCUUUCUUCAAGGCUUUAAAAAAUGGCCUGCACUUGUCGGUAGAUCUUGAGAGGAAUCGGUUGAGAGCUGCCGCCCUACCCGUUAGACUUUGUAUCUCCUUUGUUGUGGCAGGUGACUUCAUGUUGAGUAUAGCCUUGAUUUGAUAUGGAUGUGCCUCAAUUCCUCUUUAGGUGACUAAGUAUCCCAGGAAUCGGCUGGACGAGACUCCAAACGUGCAUUUGCUCGGGUUCAACUUCAUGUUGUAUUUUCGGAGUAGACUGAAUACCUCGGCAAGGUUCUUGAUGUGGUCUGCUCGCUCGGGAGCUUUGACUAGCAUGUCGUCUACGUCGACUUCCAUAGUCUUGUCGAUUUGCUCGUUGAAAAUUUUGUCCACCAGCCUUUGGUAGGUUGCUCCGGCGUUCUUCAGCCCAAAAGGCAUGACUUUGUAGCAGUAUGUACCUUUUUCGAUGAUGAAAGAGGUUUUAGCCUUGUCAUCUUCAUGCAUCAUGAUUUGGUUGUAGCCGGAGUAGGCGUCCAUGAAGCUUAGCAGUUGGUUACCAGAAGUUGAAUCAACGAGCUGAUCAAUUCUAGGCAGUGGAAAGUUGUCUUUAGGGCAUACCUUGUUGAGGUCGGUGUAGUCGACGCACACUCUCCACAGACCUUUAUCUUUCUUUGCCACUAGAACAACGUUCGCCAGCCAUUCUACGUAGGAGACUUCUUCAAUGAAACCAGCAGCUAGAAGCUUAUCGAUCUAGGCUUCAAUGAUGGCAACCCGUUCGGGAGCGAAGUUGCGUCUCUUCUGCGCUACAGGUUUGAUAGCUGGGUUGACGUGUAGGCGAUGGCAGAUGAUUUGGGGAUCGAUGCCAGGCAUGUCAGAUGGCGACCAUGCAAAUACGUCUUUGUUGUUCCGGAGGAAGGUUGCAAGCUCUAUCUUUUCCUCAUGGCAUAGGCGCGAGUCGAUCCGCGCUUUUCUCUCUGACUUGUCAGGAUUAAGGGGUACUAGCUCAACGUCCUCUUCGGGCUUCCAUCCUUCUUCAGGAGAGACCUCCGGACGGAUUCCCUCGACUUGGUCCUGAUUCUUUGAUUGCUAUUGGGGGGUAGCUAUUCCUUUUUCUUUCUGGUCUGCUCGGCCGUCAGGAACUGGAUCUGCUUUCUCCUUUGCUUGUUCUACUCCCUUUAGGUCUGCCUGAUUCACAGGGAGGAACUGUGUUUGCUUGCCUUUCUUCAGCCCUUGAGCUGAGCAUUUUCUUGCAAUUGCCUGAUCGCUGUUGAUCUGGCCGAUACCGCCCCCAAGGAUUGGGUAGCGAAUCUUCUGAUGUGUGGCAGAGGUGAUGGCGUUGAUCUUGCCGAUCCAUGGUCUGCCUAGAAUGCCAUUGUAGGGUGAGACUUCAUCAAUGACCAUGAACAUUUGCAAGCUGAUUACAGCUGGAGAGUAGAUGUCGAGAUCUAUCGUGCCCACGGUAACCGUCGUUGCGCCAUUGAAACCAGUCAGCGACUUGGCUAAUUUAUUGAUCUUUGCCUCUAAGCCCAUCUGUUGGAUGACUGCCAAUUAUAGGAUGUUGGUUGCACUGCCCUCAUCUGCAUGGACUCGGUCGACCAUGGCCUGAGCGAUUUGAAUGCUGAUGACAAGGGCGUCGUUGUGCGGUAGAUCCAGGCCGAUCAAGUCUUUCUUUUGGAAGCCGAUCACGGGAUCGUCUUCUGCCAGUGAGAGGCUAGUUGAGACUUGGGAGAUCAUAGUAGCCUGUUUGAUCUUCCUCUUCUUCUCUUUGUUGGUCAGUCCGGACUCCUCGGAGUCGGCUAGGAUUGUGUUAAUCCUUAUGACCUUCUGGGGUGGCUCCUUGGCAGUAUCGCGGUCUUUUAUCUGCUGGAUGGCCUGCUUCGCGAUGAACUCCGUGCAAUGACCUUCUCUCACGAGUUCUUCGAGAUGCGCUUUCCAAGCAAAACAAUUAUUCGUAUUGUGCCCAUGUGUCGCAUGGAAGGCACAAUAUUUUCUUGUAUUCCUUUUGUCUAGAUCUCCUUUCAAGGAUGGCGGUCUUUUUACCCAAUGUUUGUUCUUCACUUGGGCUAAAAUUUGAUGUAUGGGGAUAGAAAACUUGGUGUAGUUCUCUUUCGUCGUGGCCUCUCUUUGUGGCAUGACCUGCCUUUGUCUUUGUCCCUGCUGCCAAGCCUGUCGCCUCUUUGUUCUGCCCGUUUAGCCGGUCGAUCUUCCUGCUCAGUGGACUUCUUCGCGGCGAUUCGAUCGUCAUCCCAGAGUGCGUAGCGUUCUGCGGUCGCGAAGACCUCCGCCAGAGUCUGGCUGGGAGUGAUAGUCAGCUCGCGAUAUAAGUCAUGUUCUGCUAGAAGACCUUUCUUGAACGCAGAGGAUGCGAUUUGGUCAUCGCACCCUACGAUAUUGGCCUUUUCUGCUUUGAACCUCUUGAUGUAAUCUCGAAGGGAUUCCUCGGGCUUCUUGCGUAGGUUGAAUAGAUGGUCAGGGUUCUUCUUGAUCGUCCGAUAAGAAGUGUAUUCUUUAGUGAAGACGUAAGUAAGCUCCUUGAAGCUGUUGAUCGACCCAGAUGGCAGGGUAUGGAACCAAUCCUGAGCUGCUCCUCGCAAAGUCAUUGCAAAGACCUUGCACAUUAGAGCGUCUUCGGCUUUAUAGAGGAUCAUAAGGCUCUUGAAAUGCUUCAGAUGACUUUCAGGGUCGGAAUCGCCUUUGAAGCAUGUGAAAGAGGGCGUUGAGAAUCUUUUCGGGGGAGCAGCCUGCUCGAUUUUGGCGGUGAAAUGUGAGGAGUUUGCUUGGUCUACCCCAAUGCGUAGUGCAUCUUCAAAAUUUCCGCCAAUCUUUAAGUCUCGAAGUCGGUUAUUCACAAGCUUUUCAACGUCUUCUGCACGCAUGGCUAGUCGGUCACGUUGAUGAUCUUCGCGAUUAAGACGACGCUGAUUGACUUCCUCAUUGGUUUGCGAGGGUUGACCUUCUCAGUUGCGCUGUCUAGGCGGCGUGUUGGUGGACUGCGCAUGCGAGGAAUUUCCAGUAGUUUGCCGACGAGAAUUGGUUCUUCGAGAGCGAGUAGCGGAGCGCCUUUCUUCACGGUCCUCAUUGUGAUGAUUGUCGAGUUGACCUCCCUGGGGGCCUAUCCUUUCGUAAAUAUUUCUCUGUGAGCGGGCAGCGGAGCGCCUUUCUUCUCGAUCCUCGUCUCGAUGGCUGUCAAGUUGACCUCCCUGGGAGCCUAGCCUUUCAUGAACGUCUUCAUGCUGGCCCAGGCGAGCGUGGAUGUCAGGUCUUGGGCCCAGCCUAUCUCGCACGUUGGUCCUUAAAUUCAAUCUGGAUGGGAAACUUCGUCUGCUCUGAGUGUGGCUUGCGGAUGCUUGCGACAUGUCCGCGAGCUGAUCUCGUUGUUGCGCAUUUCCUUGUCUGCUUACUCCUGCUCGACCUGCUUGGUUCCCGUCGAACUGCCUAUCGGCGCGUUCGUUUAUCCUUCUCUCUUCGCCCUGUUGUCCAAGGCCAAGGUUUUGAGCCAAGUUUAUUUGGUUGAGGAGCUGCCUCAUCAAAUUGUUUUGGUCGUCUAUUCUCUGAGUUAGCUGGUCAACUCUCAGAUUAAGGUCUACUUGGCUUCGUGGAUCGAGAGGAGAGAAAUGUGUGGAGCCCAAUUGCACACAGGCUAGGUUUUCGUUGGAUGUGUGCGUGGGAGCAUGCGUCGAGCGUGGAGGCAAUGAAGGGAAUGGUUGAAGUUGCUCCAAGAUUGGGCCAAAGUUGGCGGUGGAAGUGAGCCCAACUAGAUGUGAGGUUCCACCAUGCUCAACGGUGGUGCUAUGAAGGUGGCUAGGUCUGGCCAUGGGGCCUUGAGAUGGUACGACAGCGGCGGAGGCCGGUGCUGUGGUUCCAGUCACACAGGGUGGCUGCUGAGGGUUCAUGGCGGCGAGAGGUGGUGGAGCCGCCAUGUCGAUCGUGGGAUCGUGGAAAGAGUAGCUUUGGGCCGUCACGGAUUGAGCCAUAGCAGCGGUUUUGCUCCUCGUGCACUUGCUUCCAACCAUGGUUGUUUGGAAGGCUUCGGUGGAUUGGGAAAUAGGAGGAACGGAUUCCUUGAGCACGCGUUGAGUAUAACUCGUGCCCUCAAUGAAAUCACCAAAUGUUUGUGCAAAUAAUCUCACGGGAGAAUAUUCGCUUCUAGAUCCUUCAACCUUCGAUCUUCCUUCUCUCUCUUCCUCGAUUCCUAUAAAAAAGACUGGAGUAAAUAGACCACACCCGAGGGGUGUUGGCCAAAGGCCCUCCGAUGCCUAAGUUAGUUCGAGUGUUUGUAGGAAAACAAUAGCUAAGCAAAGGAUACGGAGUUUUAUGUAGGGUGUAAACCGGGUGGCCGGAGCCGUGUGUGGUGGCCGUAGCCGUGGGGAGAAAAUAUGGAGAGUGGAGAGGGAGAGAGAGCUUCGGGUAUUUUUCUCGGGUAUAAGGAGUAGGUUUUGAUGUACCUUGAACGAUGAAUGAGGUUGUCUAUUUAUAGGAGCCUCGGGGCUAGGGUUUCGUAGGAAUCCAGUUGGGCCUGAUAAUAUCUAAAUUAAAUAUAUAUUAUCUCUUAAGAAGAUAAUAUCUGAAUUAAAUGAUAUUAUCUCUUAAAAAGAUAAUAUCUGAUUUAAAUGAUAUUAUCUUCUCUUUAUUAGGAUAAUAUCUUAAUUAAUGAUAUUAUCUCUUUAAAUAAAGAUAAUAUCAUAUUAAUUAAGAUAUUUAUUCUAAUUAAUUAAUUAGCCCGAUAAACUGGUUUAAUUAAUUAAUUAAAGAGAUAAUCUUCUUUUCCAAGUGGCGUGUCCUGAUUUGAGACGAAAAUAUAUGCUCCCACAGGUAACAUGGACAUAUAACUCUUGAGCUCUGUCAUGAAGUUAUAGAGAAUUGUCUUGUGGGCAAACCCAAGAAUGAAGACACGCAGCUGAAUCUUUUGUGGUUCUCUAUUGAGAUCUUUUGGACAGAAAUGGUCAGUUUUGGUUUCUCUGAACUUGCAUCUCGGGUAAUACCAUCAUGGUAAAUUUUCUCAGCCCUAUGCGUUUAGUAUGAUCCAAGAAUGUUGCACAGUUUUUCUGAAAUGCUGAUGCCGAGUUCCUAAUGGUAUCAUUUCUUGGUUUUUUCUUCUUACUUGAUGAAUUUGUGCUGCCUACGUUAUGAGAUAUAUUUCGCUUUGUUAUCCAGGGACCAAGAUAUGCAUAGUACUUGGGUAUCAGAGCAUUUGAUAUGAAUCGAAAGAUAGAUGAAGCUGGGCCCGUAGAGACUACACAUUCCAUAAACAUAUCCAAGGAAUCUCAAGAUGGUUGUUUUGUUCAAACGUUUAUCCGUUUGAAUUGCAUCACUGCUAAAAUGAUAAAAGAAGAUACACCAGGUACUUAUCUCCCCAGUAAAGUAGGGUAUCCUGUUUGUACUUCUAUUUUUUUUUUUACUCUUUUUCUUUCAAGAUUUGGCACGGAAGGACGUUUAUUUGCGGCUUACAAAUGUUAUGUCAUCAUUAUUCUGAUUUUAACUAAUUUGACUGGGUGCAGGAUUUUAGUGGUAGAGAUGGAGUUAGGUGUUAUGAGCAGAGAAGAUACAAGGGCGCUUGUAUCCCAAAAAGAAACAACUAAAGCUACUGAUCCGGAGGGGCAGCUUAAGACCGAGAGCCACUAAUGAGUGGGACGAAUGGUGCUUGUUUGACUGAAUCAAUUUGGACAUUAUUGUAAACCUAACUUAAGCAUGUAUUAGUUAAGGGGUAAUGCUAGACAUUAAAUUUAAGUCCUAAAUGAUGUGGUCAUAUCAUCAUUUUAAUUUAAUAAAAUUACUAGCAUAUAUUAUUCUAAAAAGAAAAAUAAAUAAAUAAAACCAUGUGAGUUGAUUAAUCCAAAGUUGCAAACCUAAUCACCACCAUGUUCCACCACAGCCAGUCCCGCCGCUCCUGCACCUUUAUCAACAACUCACCCUACCCCAAGUCAACCUUCAUGGAUUCAUUCAAUCAGCGAAAGAGUUGUAAACAAAUUUUUUGCCCAGCCGUUCGCUUCCCAAUUAAUUUUGGUAAACGAUAAAUUCUUCUAAAUCUUCUAUUUAAAUAAAAAUUUUGAUGUUGGGAUUUCAACCUCUUAGAUUGUCUAGGAUGAUGGGUUGCUGUAGCAGUUGGGAUGGGGUUGGGGAGAUCUCGUGGUUGGGGGGAUAUGGUGGUGAUCAGUUUUGGGAUUCAUUUGGUUAAUUAAAGUUAACAUUUAUGCUGUAUUUUUUUUAAUAAAUUAAUUGCUGGUAAUUAAUACAUAUUGGCAAUUAAUUGAUGAUGUGUCAUUUGCCAUAGGGACUCAAUUGUGGUGCACAAAUUUAGCGUCCUUAGCAUUAUUCAUCAGGUAAGUGGAUCAGAGUUAAACAAAUGAUAAGCAAAUUUUAUUAGCUGUUGGGAAUUGAUUCCCAAAUGAAUCAAUUAUGUGACAAUUCAAUAGUUGACUUGAUGGGUCAAUGGGUUCCCACCACAGUGGUGGUGGAUUCCCCCUCCUCCAUAGCACUCACGAUCGAACUCAAUGAGGUUUCUUUUCUCCAAUGUAACUUAACAAAAAAAGUUGACUUGAUUGACUUAAAUUUAUAAUCUAUGCUAUAGAAUUCGGGGUCAUUGAAAAAGAAUUUAAAGGUCUCUGGGUAAAAGGUAAAAUUUCGUACAUCAUUUUCAAGUUUGGAUUGUAUUAUUAUUAUUAUUUUAUUUUAUUUUUUUGCUAAAGUUAGGAAGGGAAAGGGAGAAAAACUCCCAUACAGUAUUAAUACCAUGGAAGUUCCAAGAUCACUUAAGCGCGCACCAAAGACCUCGGUUAAUCUAACUAACACUACAUUGGUAAGUUUAGAUUGUAUUUCAGAUUAGAAAAUCACAAACAAUUUGAACAAGGAUGCUUGCAAACCUACAACUAAAAAUGUGUGCGCGAAAUUAAAACUCUCUCUCUGAGUAAACUCCAACUAACCGAAGCUAAUAAAUCAGUAGAUUGUAUAAGUUUAAACAACAACAAAGCAAUAGCACCAGUGGUCUAGUGGUAGAAUAGUACCCUGCCACGGUACAGACCCGGGUUCGAUUCCCGGCUGGUGCAAAAAAGUUUCUUAUUUUUUUUAAUUUUUAGGUAUAUUCCUAACACCCAAAAAUUAGCAUAAUCCUUGUCUUAUCAUUUUCAACGUAGUUAAUUAGCAUCUUCCUUUUUAAUACAUAUAAUCAACUAUUCUAAAUUAAUUUAAUUUAUAGAAAAGAAGAUUCGACUUCGAAUUCAAAAAUGUGGGUAUACUAUCCCGAUCAAGUGACUUAAUUCAUAUAAACUAAACACCUAGUUGGAUAUAUUUUAACCGUCCACGUGUAUAUUAGAAUUGAACUCGCUUGUAUAGAUUGGUCGGCGGGCCUCAUAAAUAUGGGCACCUAUCAUUACUCCGAUAUUUAAUUUUUCUUCCCAAACGUAGCAUAAUAGCAUUACUGUGGUAUGAAUGCUGGAAAAAUGAACCAAAAAAUACACAACUGAUUGACUUUGUCAGCUAUCUCAUGUCAGGGAUCAAAUGGGCUCACAUUCACACAUGCACAAGAAACUAUCUCUGCGUAGGAAAUGACUGGAUACAGAAAAGCCACGCAGCACGAAGAGUUGAUGGUUCAAAUGUCUUCUACUUACGUGUUUUGUUCUCUGCCACACCACACACCAACCUCCCUUCCCUUCCCUUCCUUUCCUUUCUGAAAUCAAAUCCCAGCAAAAAGGUAAACGGACUCAAAUGGUUGAAAACGCUGAAGACACCCCACCGUCACUUGCACUGCAUGGCACAACCGUUACCAAUUUGACAUUACGAGACAUUAAUAUUUUCCUACCUUUCACACCUCUUCUUCUAAUCCACUUCAACACCUAAUAUGUCAAUCCUGUCAUUUAUCGUUCACACCAAACACACCACAGCCACAAGAAAUAUUUCCAUAAAAUAGAAAUAACCUUAUUUUGUUAUUUCCGAUCAAUAACGCUAUGAUACCAUAUACGUGUGAUAACACUUUCACCUAAUAUAUCAUUAUUUCUCGCCUUUGCAACUAAAUUUUUCUGCACAGCCACAUUCUAAAAUCCCUACUACUUUAUAAGUCCUUUUGCUUUUUACCUCGUUCAUUCACACGCCACCUCAUUCUCAUUUAUAAAUAAAACCCUCAACUCAUCAGUUUGUGCGCUUGAAAACUUUUUUGAGUUUGAGUGGAAUUUAUUUAAUCGAUCAUGGCCAAGAAUGAUUUGAAGGUUUUGGGAGCAUGGCCGAGCCCAUAUGUGAUGAGAGCUCGGAUCUCUCUGAAUAUCAAGUCUCUGGACUAUGAGUUUCUUGAGGAGACAUUUGGAUCGAAAAGCCAGCUUCUGCUCCAAUCAAACCCUGUCCACAAGAAAAUCCCAGUUCUCAUUCAUGGCGACAAACCCAUCUGUGAAUCUCUCGUCAUUGUUGAGUACAUCGACGAGGUUUGGCCAUCGAGUCCCUCCAUCCUCCCUUCUCACCCAUAUGAUCGUGCUACUGCCAGAUUUUGGGCUUCCUAUAUCGAUGAGAAGGUAUUAAUUCAUGCAUAUAUGGUUAUGUCAGAUUUUGGACCUCCUGUCCUGGAUGUGUAAUUUAAAAAAGAAUUUGUUCGAACUUUCUUAUUUGUUAUUGUUGUUUGGACUUAUCCACUUACAAGUUACAUGUGAAGAAGAAGAUGCAUGCCAUGUACCUCCUGGAUGAGGCUCGUACCUUAACCAACUGGAUCCUACAAAAGACAAACCUUUUAAGUAAUUAAUAAUAUUACUGGUUUACUCACAUAUCAUACUUGUGUGACAUUUUAUGCCGUAAAGUCGUAGUGCCGAUUUGUCUCCCUAUCAAUGAAAUAUUGCCAUUUCUCAAUGAGAUUUAUAACUUUUUUAGAGAAUCGGAUGACUCUCAACAACCACAACAAUCUGUAUAGUGUUAUUAAUCCACAUUUUUAAGUGAAUUAGUAACGUUAGUGGCUACGUGACGAGUACCUUGACAUCGAGUUGAUGUUCACGGUUAUCAUGCUUGUCACUAAGCUUUGAGUGAUGUUAAAAAUGAAAUUUUGCAUGUAUAAUUGAUUGUGAUUUGGCAAAUGAGAUGCUGGUUUCAAUAAAAUAGGAUUAACUCUGUAUACAUUUAUGACUCAUUUGCUUAUCAAUGUGUCGCAUUUUCUUGUAGUGGUUCCCGGCCAUGAAAGGCAUUGCUGCUGCUCAAUCAGAGGAGGCGAGGAAGGCGGCAAUCGAGCAAGUGGCUGAAGGGCUGGCGCUAUUGGAGGAUGCCUUUCAGAAGACUAGCAAAGGGAAGGACUUCUUCAGUGGAGACAAAAUUGGGUACCUUGACAUUGCAUUUGGGUGCUUCUUGGGGUGGCUCAGAGUGACAGAGAAGAUGAAUGGGAUCAAAUUGCUGGACGAAACAAAGACACCAGGGCUGGCCAAAUGGGCUCACAAGUUUUGUGCAGAUGCUGCUGUGAAGGAUGUUAUGCCUGAGACUGAGAAGCUUGCCGAGGUUGCUAAGAUUAUUACGGCCAAAUUGAGAGGUGCAGGUGCUCCCCCGAAAUAAUGAAUAUUCUAAUUAUCAUCUUGUGUGACUCGGUGAUUAAUUAGUCGGAUAUGUUAGGCAAUAUGCUAUAGACUCAUAGACUCUGGUCUAUUUUGUUUUAUGUUCGUCUUUUUAUGUGCAUCAUGUAAUGUGAUGCAAAAUAAAUCAUGACCUACUUCAGCAGUUCUCGUUUUAAAAUUUUAUUAAUUUUAAUAAAUGUUGCUAAACGAACCUUAAAAUUAACUGAGUACACCCUAUAAUCUAAGUACACCCUAAUAUUUUAAUAAAAAUGUAAAAUUAAAUAAGUACACCCUAUAAAACUACCAAAAAUAUCCCUGAUACACCCUAAUACUUGUAGCAUUAUUUUAUAGUUGAUUUUCAGCUUGAUUUUUUUAAGAAUAUUUAUAAAUCUUUUUGACUUUUUAUAUGGAUUUAUGCUUCUAUUAAAACUGUUGACACUUUUUUUGCAAUUCCAAUUUCUUGCAAUCACCACAUCUUUCGUUAAAAACACAAAUAGGACAAGCAAUCUCUUGAUUAUGGUUGAAUAUAGUUAGUAGGGUGUACUUAUUAAAAUUAUAUUUGUUUCACAAUUCCAUAUAUCCUUUUUGGUCAUUUUAUAUUAGGGUAAAUCAGUAAUUCAAUAUAUACUUUUAUAGUAUGAUGUACUCAGUUAAUUUUAGAGUUCGUUUAGCGGCACUCAUUUUAAUUGAUCACAUCACAUAGAGAACACUUUUUGCAUUGCAUAUCAAGUGUAAUUUUGUUUUUAUCUUUUGGUUUUUUUUUUUUUGGGUAAACAAGGAGAAAAAUUACCUAAAUCAAGAAUUAAUACCACAGUGAACAAUUAAUUUGGACUACGUUACAGGAAUUCUCCAUACUAAAUUAGUAAAAUGUUUAACAAAUUUAAGUGAACUUUGUAAAGGUUACACAACAUAUACUACUAUAAUUAAUGGAUUUUGUCACACAGGAAAGAUGGCAGAAGCAGAUGGCCAGUUUGGGGCUUAGCCCAAACUUUGUCGCUUAUACGGCACUUAGGCGCUGGACGCCUCCUUUUUUAUAUAUAAAUAGUAUAAUUCGAGAAAUUUCGCCGGCUAGAUCUGUGCCGACGAACUUUCGUCGGGAGAGGUUUUCCCUUUUUUGUUGUUGUUAGUUUUAAAAAUAUAUAAUUAGUUUCUUUACUUUUGUUUUUUGGCCUACUUCUUAAAUUUAAUAUAUGUCAUUAAGUAAUAUCUUAGCCUUUUUGAAUUACUUUAAUUAGUAAUUAUAUUUUAAUUAUGAUUUAAUAUAUAAAAAUUAAAGAAAAGGUUCAUAAAAUAAUUAAUUUCUAUUUAUUAAGUCUGCUGUGAAAUCGUUUCGAUGUCUUAAUUAAAUUUCUCUAUAGCCCAAGAGCCUCAUCCAUUACUAUUAGGCCAUUACUCGAGUAUCUAUUGUCCCCUUUUUUAUUUUUUUUUCUUUUUCGGAGUCAUUGUCCGUAUAAAGAUUUUAGCACUUUCAUAUUUAAUAAUUUAUUAUACACGUACGCACGUAUUUCUCAUGUUAAAACAUGUAAUUUUUACAAAAAUUUCAAUAAGACACGCACAAUUUACAUAUUAGACACCUAAUUCUCACAUAUUAUUGAAUUAAAAUAAAAUAUAUUUAUUUAUAAAAAAAAGGGCAAUACUCAGUUUUUUCCUAAUUAUUUUUUAAAAAUAGUGUAGUUGUGUGGUGAUACACGUUUUUUCAAAUUUAUUUUUUAAAAAAAAUAGUAUAGCCGCACGGCUUUACUUGUUUGACAGUUGUGUGAGGGUCUUUAUAUAUAUAUAUAUAUAUAUAUAUAUAUAUAUAUAUCGUCUAGCCGUACUGCGAUACUAUAUUUUUUUUUAAAUUUUUUAAGAAAUAGUAUAGCCACCCGGCUUUACGCCUUUGACACGUCGCACUUAGGCGCUGGACACCUCUUUUUUUAUAUAUAAAUAGUAUAGCCGUAAAUUUAAUCCAAAAAUUUCACCGGCAUAGUCCUGUGCUGACGAACUUUCGCCGAGAGUGGUUUUUUUUUUUUUAAAUUAAUAAAUUUUAAAAAUAUAAAAAUAGUUUCUUUGCUUUUGUUUUUUGGCCAACUUCUUUAAUUUAAUAUAUAUUAUUAAGUUAUAUCUUAGCCUUUUUGAAUUACUUUAAAUAGUAAUUAUAUUUUACUUAUUAUUUAAUAUAAAAAAUUAAAAAAAAAGUCCACAAAAUAAUUAAUUUCUAUUUAUUAAGUCUUUUGUGAAAUCAUUUGUGUGUCUUAAUUAAAUUUCUAUAUAGCCCAAUAGCCCUAUUCAUUACUAUUAGGACAUUACUCAAAUAUCUAUUGUCCCUUUUUUAUUUUUUUACUUUUUCAGAGUUAUUACAGGUAUAAAGAUUUUAGCACUAUCAUGUUUAAUAAUGUAUUAUACACAUAUGCAUGUACUUGUCAUGUUUAACACACAUAUUUUUUUACAAAUAUUUCAAUAAGACACGCAAAAUUCACGUAUUAUACACCUAAUUUUCACAUAUUAUUCAAUAAAAAUAAUAUAUAUUAAAGAAAUGAUAUAGCCGCACGGCUAUACGCAGUUUUUCCUAAUUGUUUUUAAAAAAUAGUAUAGCCGUUCGGAUAUACACAGUUUUUAAAUUUUUUUUAAAAAAAAAUAGUACAGCCUUGCGGCUUUACUUGUUUGACACGUGGCGCCCAGGCGUUGGGUGGAUCUAUAUAUAUAUAUAUAUAUAUAUAUAUACAAAUAGUAUGGCCGCCGGCUAUAAUAGAUUUUUUUAAACAAAUUUAAGAUAUAGUAUAGCCGGUCGGCUAUACCAGUUUUUCCUAAUUUUUUUUUUAAAAAUAGUAUAGCCGCCCGGCUUUAUGCUUUAGACACGUGGCACCUAAGCUCUGGACGUGCCCUUUUUUAAUAUAUAAAUAUUAUAGCCAGGCGGCUAGACUAAUUUAAAAGAAAAUUUAAUCCGAAAAUUUUGCCGACAUAGAUGCGUCUGACAAACUUUCGUUGGGAGAGGUUUUUUAAUUUUUUAAUUUUAAAAAUAUAAAAUUAGUUUCUUUACUUCGGUUUUUUUGGCCUUCUUCUUUAAUUUAAUAUAUGUAACUAAGUAAUAUCUUAGCCUUUUAAAAUUACUUUAAUUAGUAAUUAUAUUUUAAUUGUUAUUUAAUAUAAAAAUUAAAUAAAAAUCCACAAAAUAAUUAAUUUUUAUUUAUUAAGUCUUUUGUGAAAUCGUUUGGGUAUCUUAAUUAAAUUUCUCUGUAGCCCAAGAACCCUAUCCAUUACUAUUAGGCCAUUACUCGAUUAUCUAUUGGUCAAUUUUUUACUUUUCCGAAGUUAUUAUCCGUAUAAAGAUUUUAGCAAUUUCACGUUUAAUAAUAUAUUACACACGUACGCACGUAUUUCUCAUGUUUAAUACACAUAUUUUUUUUUACAAAGAUUUCAAUAAGACACACAAAAUUCACGUAUUAUACACCUAAUUCUCAGUUUUUUAUAAUUGUUUUUAAAUCGUUUUUUAAAUUAUUUUUAAAAAUAGUAUAGCCGCACGGUUUUACUUGUUUGACAUGUGGCGCUGGGCAGGUCUUUUUAUAUAUAAACUAAUUUUAUAUUUUUAAAAUUUUUUUAAAAAAAAAAAAAAUCUCUCCUAACAACGUUGGCACAUGGACUAUGUUGGCGAAAUUUCCCGAAUUAAAAUUUCUUUUUAAAAACCGGGUGGUUAUACUAUUUAUAUAACUGGCUGUGGCUUUUGUAAACGAGGGGAGGUAGACAUCGCAAAUGAGCAUCUUCAAGAGAUGUGCAGGAAGGGCCCUUCAACUUUAUGUCGUCUUCACUUACAACUCAAUUGUAAAUGGCCUUUGUAAAUCAGGAAAUAUAGCUCAGGCUGAAAAAUUGAUGGAAGAAAUGCAGGUUGCUGGUCCUCUGACACUAGUUGUGAUCUAUUUAUUCAUUGGUCAAUAUGGACAUGUAACUAGCAUAUAUGUAUUAUGUAUACUGAAUCCAACCGAGAUCUGUUUGCUGCAGUUCGUCGGGCAGGGGAACUUAGUCUGCCUGUGGUAACUAAUAACUAUUGAUUGAAACUUGCUAUUUCCCACGAGAUAUGCAAAUGCCUGGUUGUGAUUUAACCGUUUUGCAAUGUCCUGGUCUUGGAUUUUUGAUAAUAAAUUGCAUGUGUUCAUGUUUCUAGUGUUCUGGUUGACGACGAUGGAAUCUUCUAGUUGCACCUUGGUUGACAAAAUCAAACUUAUCGGAUGUUGUAACAUAAAAAAUCAGGUUACAAAAUCAGACUCAUCACCUUUUUAGAUUUUUAACUUUUUUCAAUAAUGAUUUGGUGCUUCAGUAACUUGUCAAUAAUUUGACUAUUAAUACGGAAAUGCCACAAGGUUUUAAAGGUGUCAAACGGCCCGGGCCGUGUGUUUGAAAUCAGUCCAUUUAAUAAACGGGCUGCGUAGGGUCCGUUCAUUUAUGAAAAUCAUCAAUCCUGUCUCUGGCCCAUGCUCGUACUAUAGGCCACUAAACGGGCCGAAAUGGGUCCAUGUCAAAUUUGACUUAUGUAUUACAAGGGUUUAGGGUAAAUUUUUUUUUACAACUUCAUUUAAAUCUUUUUACAAUCAUAUAUAUACUAACAAGAUUUAUUAUUUGUUGAAAAAAGAGACCAAUAAUUUUAUUUAAAGCAUAUUUAAAUAGAAAAUGACUAAAUUGUUUGGACUUUAAAAAUUGAAACUUGAAAAAUAAAAUUAUUAUUUUAUGUAUAAAGAAAAUAUUAAAUUUUAAUCUAUAUAUAUAAAGCAAAGGGUAGAGAAUGGUGAAACAUUCAAAAUAUUAGAAAAUUCCCUUGGUUAAUGCAAAAAUUUAGAAUUGAAAUUAUUAUUCAUUAAAUGAGGAUAAGAUGAUAAAUUCACACUUUUUUAUAUUUUAAAAAAUAAAAAUAUAUAUAUAUAAUGGAUUCCUAUUUUUAUGGAACACAACUACCCAUUAUUUUUUUUAAGGAAAAUGCUAGGGANNNNNNNNNNNNNNNNNNNNNNNNNNNNNNNNNNNNNNNNNNNNNNNNNNNNNNNNNNNNNNNNNNNNNNNNNNNNNNNNNNNNNNNNNNNNNNNNNNNNAUGGUUGGGGUGACCAACCUUCGAUAUCAACUUGGGUACCAAAUCUCUAAUUGUGUGUGAGAACCUUUGUAUUGGUGGGCUCCACCUCUAUUAGAGAGUUGGUACACAAGUUGGUAUCUAAAGUUGGUCUCCCUAGCAUCACCCUUUUUUUAAUUCAAAAAAAAAAAAUGGCACACGUUGGGCUAAUAUAUAUUAUUAUAGAAAAAAAAAUAGACUUGAAUUUAAGAUAUAAAUGUGAUAAUAUUAUUAUUUUUUUCUAAAAUAAAUGUAAUUUACUAAUGGGCUUUAAAUAGGCCAGCCCGUUGGGUUUCAACCCAGCUUUGGGCCUAAUUGAUAUUAAUUAUAUGCAUUUGAGUGGGCAAUCAAUUUUUACUAUAUUUAAAUAUAAUUAUGUGCAUGUGAGAAUUGGGUAAUUUGGCUAUUAUUCUCGUUUGAUGUUAUCAAUAGAUGAAUGAACCCCUAAUCUUAUUUCAUCAACUAUGAAUUAUGAAAUUGUUCAUUAUGAGGGUCUAAUUGCAAUAUUUAUUUCAUUUUCCUGGGCCUUUAUUUUCUAUUUUGAGCUAGCAUAACUAAAUGUGCACUACAUCAUACCAAUAACAUGUUUUUUUUUUCUUCGAAGUCAAAAGAAUAAAAUGUUCUUCUUAGUGCUCAUAAUGCUCAAGCUUCUUUGUUAAAACCAUGGUCCCCCUAAAUUAAGUUUGGAAAAAUUCAAUCUUUGGUCUAAGCUUAUGUGAGUUUUAGUCGCUGUAAAUAUGAAUUUUCACAUCAAAUUUCACUUUACUUUGGCCGGGUGCAGCUGUCUUGGCAGAGUUGGAGUGUCAAGUGUAUGAGCAGAGAAGAAGAUAGAAAUAGAGGAGCGCUUGCAUCCCAGAAAUUCAACAACUGAAGCUUAUUUGGGGCAUUGCCAGGAAAAAUAUUGCAAUAGAACCGCUUCAAGGGCCAACUUAAGGAAGACCAAUAGCAAUAGCCAGCCACCGAUGAGUGGUUCUUGUUUGACUGAAUCAAUAGAAAGUUUAUGCAUAUCAGCUACUUGGAUCAGAAUGAAACAAACGACGCAAACAUAUAAAAUUGCAAUAGAACCGCUUCAAGGGCCAACUUAAGACCAAGAGCCAGCCACCGAUGAGUUAUGCUUAAAUAUUAGCAUCUAUAUCUUCAUUUAAUGAGAUUGAUAACUUUUGUAGAGUGUCAGCUGACUCGCACCAACCACAAGCACGACACAGUAUGUAUUUUUAUUAAUUCACUUAUUAAAAUAUGAAUAGAAAAUAAGGUCAUAAAUAAAUUUACGUGUUAUAAAUUGAUAACAUUGCGUGACGAGUAUACAUUGAUAUUGAGUUUGAUGUGUCACGGUUCUCAUGCUUGUGAGACCAAGUGAUAGAAGCUGUAUGAACUGAACUUAAAAAUGGAACUUUGAUUGUAUAUUGAUUGUGAAUUGGUAAAUGAGACAUGUUGGUUUUGGAUGACUCAUUCGCUUAUCAGUCUGUUGCAUUUUCUUGUAGUGGUUUCCGUCCAUGAGAGGCAUUGCUGCUCCUCAGGGAGAGGAGGCGAAGAAGGCGGCAAUCAAGCAAGUGGCCCGGUGCUGUUGGAGGAAGCGUUUGAGAAGACUAGCAAAGGAAAGGACUUUUUCAGUGGAGACAAAAUUGGGUAUCUUGACAUUGCAUUUGGGUGCUUCUUGGGGUGGCUAAGAGUGACAGAGAAGAUGAAUGGCGUCAAACUGCUGGACGAAACAAAGACACCAGGGCUGCCCAAAGUUUGAUGGUUGUUGUCUGUCAUGGAACAGAUCCAAACUUCACUACAAACGUUCUGUAAAUCUAAAUAAAAAAGAAAACAAUAAGGAAAACUUACCUACAUCAAGAAUAUCACAAUGAACAAUUAAUUUGAAGUAGAUUACAGUGGUAUUCCUUUACAUGAAAGUUAUUCUGAAAAACAAGGCCUCCAAUGAAUUUUCCAUGCUAAAAUGUUAACAAAUUUAAGUGAACUUUGUAAAGGUUACUUUCGACUUUGGACAAUGUUAAGAGUCAAAAAAUAUGAAUUGACUUAAUACUUUAAUUUUGCGGCCUACCCUUCAAACAUGCAUCCACCAGUGCACCUAACUAUGUCGUUACACGCAUUGACACCAAACUCACCACAGCCACUUUUCUAAUCCAUACUUACUUAACAAUCCAUGGUUGUUUCUCUUGUUUAAUUCAUCCCACCACGCUCACUAAACACAAAAACUCAGUGUUCGAUUAAAAGCUUCGAGUGUGAGUUGUGAGAGAUCGAUCGAUCAUCAUGGCCAUCACCAAGAGCGACGUGAAGGUCCUGGGAAUGUGGCCGAGCCCAUUUGUGAUGAGGGCUCGCAUCUCUCUUAACCUCAAAUCUGUCGACUACGAGUUUCUUCAAGAGACAUUUGGAUCGAAAAGCCAGCUUCUCCUCCAAUCCAAUCCAGUCCAUAAGAAAGUCCCGGUUCUCAUUCACGGUGACAAACCCAUAUGUGAAUCUCUUGUCAUUGUUGAGUACAUUGAUGAGGUUUGGGCCUCCGGCCCAUCUAUCCUCCCUUCCGACCCUUAUGAUCGCGCCACGGCACGAUUUUGGGCUGCCUAUGUCAGUGAGAAGGUAAAUUAGCUAUUCUAUAGGAAGCACUUGUACUUAUUAGCGUUUUGAAAAAAAAUAUUGUUACAAUGGUUUUUACUAAUUAAUGUUUCUUGGUUUAAAUGUGGGUGGCAGUGGUACCCAUCAUUGAAAGGCAUAGGUGCAGCUCAAGAAGAGGAGGCAAAGAAGGCAGCAGUGGAGCAAGUGGAAGAAGGGCUGGCCUUGCUGGAGGAAGCAUAUGAAAAGUCCAGCAAAGGAAAGGACUUUUUUGGUGGAGAUGAGAUUGGGUACCUUGACAUUGCGUUUGGGUGCUUCUUGGGGUGGCUCAGAGUCAUAGAGAAACUGAAUGGGGUCAAGCUGCUGGACCAAACAAAGACACCAGGGCUGGUCAAUUGGGCUGACAAAUUUUGUGCACAUAGUGCUGUGAAAGAUGUCAUGCCUGAGACUGAUAAGCUUGCUGAGAUUGCUAAGAUUCUUGCGGCCAAAUUGAGAGGGGCAGCUGCCCCUCCCAAGUAAUUACCAAUUCCAAGGAUAAAUAACUUACUGUAGCCUUGCCCUAUUUUAUGUUCUGAAUGUUACACAGAGAACAUAGUUAUCCUUAUUUUUGUUUUUAUUUUUAUCUUUUUAAUAACCAUUGUCAAUUGAUACUUUGAACUUUUGAGCGAGGGCAUUAUAUAUUAGGUAAAGCUUCAUCUUUUAACCGUUAAAUUAAAUUGAUCAACCGUUAAAUUAAAUUGAUUAACAUGAUCCAACUAUUAAGAUAUAAGACUUUAUCUAAAGGUCGACCCUUACUAAAGUGAACUUAACUUUUGAGUUACAAAUUACAAUUGGGCUCAAGGCCCAAAACUACCAACUUGAACCUUGUUUAGGCCUAAACCUGCACUUACAACCAGUCCAUUUCAAAGCAAAAUUACAUUAACCAUUUUUUCACUUAACAAAAACGAAUCAUAUUUACAGAUCAUGAAUUAUGCACAGGCGACGUGGGCUUUGCUGUUGUGUCCACGGUGAUUGAAAAGUAUCAGAUCCAAAUGUUAUGUCCCUACCUUACUCGAACCGCACAAAGCAUCUGACAACAGAGAAAAAAGAUAGUAAAUUUAGGUUUUACUCAUAAAAAAACUUUCACUUUUGGAAAAAGCCAAAGCUUUUUGAAAAAAGACGGAAUAACCUCUCAACUUUCAAACCAAAGACAUGCAAAUGUAAAGGAUUUCUUAGGAAAUCAAAAAAUAAAUAAGGGCAAUUUUGUCCAUUUUUGCUUCUUUUAAAAAUUUUCUCUCUCCUUUGGGCUUUUCCAAAAUCUCCCAAAAAAGAUUAGGCGCUGAUGCUAACAUUAGACUAUCCACCAAAUCAACGGCGACAAUUGACAAAGACCUUCGUCAUAUUUUAUGUUAUGAUCAUCCAUUUGCAAAUUAUACAGCAAAAAAACUAAAACCCAGUUUCCGUUGAAGUUACCGCCAUUGUUUUGGCUAAGAAAAACACUGUUUUUUUAAGCAACAAGCUACUGAUUCAAAGAGGUGAGCAGAUUUUGCUCAUUAAAAAAAAAAGAAAAAAAGAGGUGAGUAGAGUUAGGAAAUGGAGGGAGGAGUGAAAGUUGACAAAUGGGGCUACGAGGUGAGGACCUCUUCAGACGCUUGCAUAUCUGCCAUCGACGAUUUCUAUGACCAGGCAUGUCUUAAUCUCCUUUCUUUUACUCAAUUUUUCUGUUUCUAUUGGUUUGGUAUGUCAAAAGUUGAGAUGGGUACUGGGAUUUUUGGUGAAUGAGUGAAGGUGUUGAGUUAUGGGAGAGAUAGGUCGGUGAUAUUGGAGGCACCGUCACAUGACAAGGACUGCGUGCUUGCUAACAUCUUGGCUGCCCAUUUUCUCUGCUCCUCUGAUCCUUCUCGAGCUCCUUCUCAUCUCCAAGCCGCCAAGUCUCGGCUGGUAAGGUUGUUUCAAGUUGAACAAUUUGACAUCUAUUGUUAAUUAACCUUGGAGAGGUGUAAUGGGAAAUUUGUUGUGCACAGGAACAAGCUACUCAAUACGAGAAAGCAGUUUUUGACGCUGUCAAUUGUUUGAUUUCUGAGAAUAGAGAUGAUGAUGUUGCUGUUGAGUUGCAUUCUAAGGUGGGCCACUACCCACCCUCUUUAUUAGUGGGGAUUUUCCUUACUUGAUGUGCAUACCUAUUUACUUGGCUUCCUACCACAGCUUUUAAAUUGUACUUUCUCCACAAUUUUCAUACUCCAUGUUAACUAUUUGGUCAGUCAUGCUGUUAUUCAUUGCAGAUGAUCCAGAAAUGUACUUGCCCACCUUUAGUUUGGUUCUACUUAUCUGUAUAAAUUUCGGAUCAUUGCCUCAAACUAUAAACUGUUUUCACUUCAAUGCCAAUUUAGUUUUUAACAGAUUGCUCAAUCACUUUCCUCAUAAAACUCGCUGUGCCAUAAUGAUUUAGACACAUCUUCUCAUUUACAAUUUCUCUUAAUGAAUUGCAUAACCGAUAGAAAAAAGAUAGAAAAAAAUAUAUCAUCCUGAACCCAAGACAUGAAAAGAUGUUAAUGAAGCAUAAUCUUGCUCAGUUGUUUUUGACAAUGUUUUCAAAUGCUUGUUUCCCCUUGUUCAUCUAUACAAAUAAAGUGGAAUGCUCCAUAGGUGAAUUUCUUAUAUUCCCGAUUUUGGUACUAAUGGUAAAUAGUAUAGGAGUAAAUACUUUGCGGUUUAAGUAUUUCGUAUAAGUUUCAGUCUCCAGUACUUCAAUAUAAGUUUAGUCUUUUAUUGUUCUAUAGCCUUUGUUCAUUAAAUUUCAUUUCAUUUAUUGUUGCAGCUCUUGAAAAGUUUCCCUAAAGAUUUGGUCUCUCUGAAAAGGGCCCAAGUGCUCUGCUUCUACAUGGCUCGACCUGAUCUGUCAUUGGAUCUUGUUCAACAGGUUCAUUUCUAUGUUGAGGAUGUGUGAAGUUUAUACAUUCAUUGAACAUAGUGGAGAAUACUUAAUUUUUUUACCCACCGUGUUUGCAUGAAUUAUUGAGCAAUUUCAAUCAAAGGAUAAUAGUUUAUGACUUAAUAGAAACACACAUUGUCUGGGGUUUUGAGCAUUUUUAAGAUAUUAGUGGAACCUUUUUUGGGUGGGAAUCCUUGUUUUGUUUUCUUGUUUGUCUUGUAACAGUCUGCUAACAGGUUCUGCCCAAUAAUGAACAAGAAAAUUACAUCUAUGGCAUGCUUUCGUUUCCUUUAUUGGAACUUGGCCGGAUGACAGAAGCUGAGAAAGCUGCAAAAAAGGGAUAUGAGAUCAACAAGCAAGACUGCUGGGUGCACCAUAACGUGAGUUAUAAUUAUCUUGUUUGCUUUAUAUCACUAUCUGCUAGUUGUCACAAGAAGUUUCUAAUGCUGAAGUUCUUGACUCAUUGUCGUAAUUCAUGUGUCCUUAAUUUGUUAUGCAGUUGUGCCAUGUUCUUCAGUAUGAUUGCCGUUUUAAAGAAGCAGUAGAGUUUAUGAAAGAGUGCUCAUCCUCAUGGGAUUCUUGUUCGUCAUUUAUGUACGCACAUUGAAUUUAUUCAAAUUUAAACAUUUUUUUUUCUCUUCACUUGAUAUUUAGAUGCUAUGAAGUGUUACGAUUAUCAGGGUCACACACAAUUGGUGGCAUGUAGCUCUUUGUUAUUUAGAAGGCCAUUCUCCAAUCCAAACAGUCCUAAAUGUAUAUGACCAUUGUAUCUGGAAGGAGUUGGAGAAACCUGAUGCUGCAUCUCCAGAGGUUUAUUUCAAGUAUUUUUGACAUGACCAGCUCUUUUGCAUCUUUCAUUCCUAACUUCUUGUUCAAUUAGGUGUACUUGAAUGCCCUUGGGUUGUUGUUACGCGUGCAUGUCCGGGGUGAAAUAGAUGCCUUUGAGGACCGUUUGAAGACCCUAGCAAAUUGCGUGACUGAUCAAGUAAGUUACAGAACAUGACCCCUAUUCCCUACCAAUCUUCCUAGAAAUCUGCUAUUUGAGGGGAUGUUUAAACCUCAGUUUCUGUUCAAUUUUUGCAAGUGUGCUCGUUUUGUAGCAAAGAAUAGAAGGUCUGAGAAUUACGAAAUACGCCUGUAUAAUAAAGAUGGCCAGUAUAAUGUGUCAAGGGUGAAUAUUUAUUACUUUUUUGGUUCAUAGAUUUGAAAAAAGAAUAUAUAUGAACUUGUAGCUAUUAUCCCAAUGCUAGCUCUCUAGGUUAUGCAUGCUUCCUGUGCUGUUAAUUAUUGUCUCUCUAUUUAUCUAGUUCUGUUGUCUGAAUGUGCUCCACUUUGUUCAGGCCAACUGGUAUUUAGAGUGGCAUCUUGACGUGUUAAUUUUAUGGGCCUUGGCUAAUACUGGUGAGAUUUCAAAGGCAGAAGAUUUGCUCAAGGGCUUGACGUCCAGGUUAAAGGAUCCUUCCACUCUCAACGACACUCUUAAUGUUAUCUGGCAAUGUAUUGAUUGCUAGUCUGUUCCUCAUGUAGGAUUGCUAAGAUGAAGAAGAAGAAGCAACAGCUAAUGCAGAGACCAAUACAGGUUUAUUCUGAUUGUGACCUCUUCAGUAAUUUUUAUAUUGGAAUCAUUAUUUAUUCUUUGGUUCAUUGUUUCUGCAUUGCCUCUUCAAAAGGUACCUUUAUAUGUGCAUUGGUCACAUCAGACUACCUACUGAAUCUUCCUCAUAUGGGAACCCUGGCAUUGAACUUUUUAUGAGCACUAAGAAGUUGUGUUAUUACUUUUACCCAGGACUUGUUCCUUAAUACUGUCAACGAAUAGAAUGAUUUAGAAACUAUGAUUGCUACAGUUCGGGUUGGCAUUAGAGAUAAUAAGCAUCAUUUCAUUGAAAAAUAAAAGAGCCAUGAUUCUUACCACUUUAGAACAUAUUCUUGCAUCAAUUUGAACUGCUUUCCUAUUGAAGUUGGGGGCAUCUUCACAAUAUCAUUGUUAUCAGCUUGCAGAAGCCUUGUACGAGUAUGGGAGGGGUAAUGAAAAACAAGCAUUGGAAUUGCUCGGUCCUGACUUCGAUGCUGAUGACUGCAAGGUAUUAACAUUAAGAAUUGCUUGUCUUACUCUGGCCUAUUUUCACAUAGAAGAGCACUAAAGAAUUUCUAUCCACUUACUACAAUGCAAGAUGGUUGGGGCCUCAGGUGAACAGCUUGAUAUAUUCAAUGAAGUCUGGUACUGUAUGUUGCUUAAAAAUGGACAAGCCGCAAAAGGUAUGGUAUAUGCUACUCUUUUGCCAUCAAACCUCCCAGUGGUUUUGUUUCUAACUUUGUGUCCGAAUUCUAGCAAUCGAAGUGAUUGAGAAGCGGAUAAAAACAAGAGAAGGGAUCCCUUUCCUUUGGCGCCUGCUGGUAUAUAUCUCUGCUAUACUAGAAGAUGUUUUUAGCUUAAUAAUUUUAUAUUUGAAUACGAGCUCUAGGACCGUUCUCUGUUAGAACAGUUGCAUUUAAAGGAGUGUGUUUUGCUUGCAGGAGAGGGGCUAUAAACUGACAGGCAGGGAGGAGGCUGCAAUUGCAAGUGCGAAAGCCAAGCUUUUGGAGACUGCAUAUUUCCCAUAACCAGUAAGAUCACAGCCAACCAAAUUAAGGUGUUGUACAUGUAAUGUAACAAAUAAGGACACAAGCAAAUUUCCACAUCUUGUAACACGAACAAAUAUGUACAUUUGAUGUUCAAAUAAAAUCAGUCUAUAGUUUCCUUAACUUGGAAACAAUUUAUGUUUUUCUCUUCUACAUCAAAAUUCAAAGUAAAUUCAUCCUUUGGUUUGUUUUAGUGAUAUGGGCACUUGGGUAUAUGAACAAAACGCCAAAAUUCGAUUUUGAAUAUUGGAAUUUAUAAUACACAGUAAAAGCCAGAAACUGGGAAAACAAAAAACGAAAAAAACACAGUUCUUAAAGUAACCAAACAGAUCUAUCUAUUCACAUUCUAUCCAGUCCAGUCUUUUUCUGCGACGCAAAAACCUUCUUCUGAGAGCUGAGAUGAGACACAACACAAACACUCUCUCUCCCUUUCACUUUCGCUUGUCAGUCAAACCCCCGCACAUGUGCAUCUGACCCCACACACGCACACCCGCCCAUCAAAUCCAAUCAGCCUUUCGCCACCUCAUCACCAAUCAAAUUCGAACUCGAAGCCCGGCUCAUCCCACGUGUACGGCUCCUGAUACGCUUCAGCUCCUCUACUACUUCCCUGGCAUCUGGACGGUCGUCCUUAUCCGCCGCCACGCACCUGAACGCCAGCUCCGCCGCCACAUCAACGCCGUCGAUCACAUUUCCGUCGACUAUGAAAACCGGGUCGACGACCUGGUGGAGCAGACCCAUCUGGAUCUUGGACACCACCAAGUCAGCCAACGCCAGCUCCCUCUUGUCCCUCCUCUGGUCCACCGCUCUCAACCCGGAUAUCAGCUCCAGCAGCACCACCCCGAAGCUGUACACGUCACUCUUGUCCGUCAACCGGAACGACCGGUGGUAAUCCGGGUCCAAGUACCCGGGCGUCCCUUGCGGGCCGGUCCAGACAUACCCGGACGUAGACGACGACGUUUCGGGGAACACUAAUAGCCUGGACAGCCCAAAGUCCCCAACUUUGAUCCUCAUGUCUUUCUCCACGAAUAUAUUCGACGACGUUAUGUCUCUGUGCACCACCGGAGGCACCACCGAGAAAUGCAAGUACUCCAUAACCAUGGCCGUUUGCAGAGCAAUGUCGACCCUCACCUGCCACGUCAGAGACCCUUUACGGUACAAGCUCUUCGGGCCGUGAAGGUGGUCGGCGAGAGUUCCAUUAGGGACGUAAUCGUAGACCAGAACAAGGCCUCUUGGAUCGCUGCAAUAGCCGUGGAGUUUGACCAGGUUUGGGUGGUCAAUCGAAGAGAGUAUCAAGAUUUCGUUGCAGAAGCACUUGUUGGAAAAGGCUCGACCAGAGGCGGCGCCAUGGUGGGGCUUGUGGAGAUACUUCACCGCCACGACCCGCCCAUCGUAGAGCUGACCCAGAUACACUGACCCGAACCCGCCGUCUCCGAUUUUGCGCUUCGGGUCGAACCGGUUGGUGGAGGAUUCGAGCUCUUCGUAUGUGAAGACUGGUGGGAGAAGACUAGCUGAGCGGUGGCGAUGGAGGAACAGGGUUGUUGGGUCUUCUUCUGUGGCAGAGGAGCUUAAUCUUCUGGACCUGAAAAUGGCUAUAAAGACUGAGACAAUGAUUAGGAAACAAGCCAAUGUGAAUACAGAGGACAAGAUGGCGAUUCGAUUGGGGCUGUCUUUGCUAAUCCAUGGUGGUGAAAAGUGAGGUAUGGGGCGAAAGCAGAGGAAUUGCUUCUCUGGGUCAGAGGAAUUGAAGCCACAGAAGCCAUUGUUGGCCUGACAAUCUCUGCAGCUGGAAAAGUAAGAGUCUUGAGCUUCGUCCCACUCGAGCUCGAUCCCCCAUUUGAGGAAAUUGUCGAGAAAGCCCAAGACAUCGCCUUGGCAGCCCUGCGCUGUAACAGGGCGGUGUGGAGAUCCACAGUCAUGGAGAAGCUUGAGUGGGUUUUUGAUGAGCUUGCAUUCCCAAGGACAAUGGCUGCAGUUGGGAAGAGUUGGAGGGGAGCAAGGUUUGAGAACGGAGAGCCGAGAACAAGAAGCGUCGGAGAUUCGGAAAGGCGAGGCAGAGAGGUUGAUCGAGCGGUCGGGGAUGGAGAGAAAGUGAGGGAACGAGCAGUUCGUGUCGGCUGAUUUUGUAAGUGAGCUUGUUGAGGUGGUGAUGUGAGGGGAGAGAACAAGUGAGGCGGAGCUGGGUUCGUAGCGAAGGAGAGAGAAAGAGAAGUUAUUGAUGGAGAUGGUGGAAUGAGGAGCAGCGCAUUUGAUUUGAAAGGAAGGGUGGCCACAACCAGGUAAAGAAGAGAAAGGAAAGGGAGGUGGUGAAGUGAAUGGUGGACAUGAAAAUGUGGAGGAGGAGGCCUCUGGUUUUGAAGAACAUGAGUGGGUGGCUGUGGAAACUGAGAAGAUUGUCAGUAGGAGGAAGACAAGGGCUGCUGAGAGUGUGGUUGAGUUUGGUGGAGGCAUGGAUGGGAAUGGGAAUUGGAAUGUGGUGAAUGAGAGAGUGUAAAGAGUGUAGUUUUAGAAGUCAUGAAAAAGAUAAAAAUGAGAUCUCGAAAUGAAUUGAAUCUGAUGUAGAGGAGGGAGGAGGAGGAUCACGUGAAGCAAGGUGGAAAGAAGACAAAAAAACUCGAAAGGGGUGGGUGGACGAAUGGCGAUCGAGGUCUGUGUUGAAUAUUUAUUUACCUCUUUGUUUCUAUUUUCAUAGAUUUCUUACCUGUUUCUCUUCUUUUCCUUUUCUUUCUUCUAUUCUCUUUCAAUUGCAGCAGUCAUAAAUGCUUUUACUUUUUAACUUUUUAGGGUGUAACAUCACAUUCAUAGUACUUUAGCUUUCUGGGUCUGAAAUUACUUUGGUAAGCAACUUCUUCUGUAUUUUUCCUCCUCCAUUAUUGAGCUUUAAGGUUGGGGUUCAGAAGGUCUUUCCCUGUCAACAUAUAUUCGUUGAGUAAUCAAUUAUAAGUUUUUUAGUCGGCGAUUAAUGAAUUACUAGCCUGUGGCACGCAUGUGCCAACUGAAUUUUUUUUUUUUUUUUUUAAUUUUAGAAUUAAAAAAGAUAAUAUAAGUAGUUAUAUUCUAUAAAAAUGGACCUAUUAUCUGAUUUUGUUUUUUAUUUUAAUAUAAAAAAAUAUAAAUUUAUCAUAUUAUUCUUAUUUAAUAUUUAAAUUAACUAAUAAUAUUUUUUGAUAUUUUGAAUGUUUCAUCAUUCUCUAUCUUUUACUUUUUAUAUAUAGAUUAUGACUCAAUAUUAGAUAUAUAUAAAUAAAUAAAUAAAGGGACUUAAAAAUGUUACAUUGUUUGUUUUCUUAUUGCUUGUGUUGACUGGGGGACAUGCGAAAGCAUUUGACAAACAAGGGAGGGUGAAAACAUAGAACAGCCUUUUCUCUUUUCUUUUUUCUUUUUUUAAAAUUAUAAUGGUAAGGGGCCCCAAGACCAAAAUGAGCAUGGAAAUUAUAAAAAGCUCGUCGAUUUCUGGGAAAUAAUAUAAAAACAAUUAUCUUCUGUACUUGGUUACAUACAGCCGUGCAGUAGCAGAGCAUAGGGGUCUCCGCUUUCAACAUCAAGCAAGCUUAAAUAUAUUUUUUUUCUUUUUUGCCCUUGCUACUGUUUUGUUGAAGUUAAGGCCUCAAGCCCAGAUGCAUGAAUUUAUGUUGUCUUGAAGACCCAGCGACACCAAUGCAUGGCCCAUGAAAAACGUCUUUGUGGAUUUGGCACUAGCGCUGGGCAUAUGGGACUAAAAACCGGUCAAACCGGUUGAACCAAAUCGAUCGAUUCGGUUUUAUGUGGUUUUUUUCUUUUUUUUUUUGGUUAAUGAUGUAUGAAUCGGACCGAAUCGGUGGUCAUAGUUUGACGCCCGAUUCCUAAUUUUAAAAAUCAUCAGUUAACCGAACCGAACUGAGUAUGUUAAAUUAUAUGUAAUUAAAUAAUUAUAAUACACGUGAAUGGUGAAUGAUGCAUAUGUUUUAGUUUGAAAGGAUUGAUUGAAUGAAUGAAUUUGAAUUUGUUGUUAUGUGAAUGGUGAAUGAAUUUCAAGCAUGUUUUGAAUGAAUGUUCGAGUUUGAAUGAAUUUAGAGUCUAAAUGUUUUCAAGUAGGUUUUCACAAAACCGAGGCAACCGGUUAACUGAGAUGAUCAGUUUCUCACCUCAUUAGUCGGCGCACGGUUUGAAUUUUCUCCAAACCAGUGUUCAUGGUUCAGCACACGAUUUGGGCUCAAAAUUAAACCAAACCAAACCGAGCCCACCUCCAUUUGGCACUAUGAUUUGGGACAACGGAGCUCAAGAAUUCUAUCGUUAUGAGGGGAUGAGGCCUUAUCUCUUAACCGUUGAAUCAAAUUAACUAAUUAAAUUUAAUGAUUAACUAAUUUGAUCUUAAUUGAUAAGACUCUUAUUAUAGAAUUACUCGAGCUGAGCUUCAAUUUGUUUUGUGCUUCGUCUACAACUUUAUUUAUUUAUUUUAUUUUUAAAUUAGCGCUAUCAUUCAGAGUCACAAUCGGUUUGACCUUGUACGCUCACGCUUGGUGUUGUAUAUAUUGUAUUUUACUGAAAUUGUCACUGCGACAAUCAGGGACCUGAUAAAACCAACGAGUUUUAGCAUGAGAGUGGCCAAUUUUGCGUUUCGUAAGUAUAUUAUAUUGGAAUAUAUUUUAUUGGAAAAUCCAGUAGCUUAUUAUUCUGCCCCAACCAUUUUCACUACACCAGCUAAUGCCAACACAGCGUCUACUUUUCCAGAACUAGUCAUCUUCUCUAAGUAAGAAGCCCAUUUAAAUGGACAGGACAAUGGGAAGGGGAAAGAUAAUGGAGAUGAGAGAGGGAAUAUAAAAUAAAAUAAAUACGAGAAAGAUAAUUAAGUGAUAUUCUAUAUAUAUAUAUAUAUAUUUGUUGUAGAGUACGCCGGCCUAAAACCGUUUCAUUUAAUAUUAAAAUAAUUUAAAGUAAUUUAAACUAUUAUUUGUGUAAAAAGAACAAUAUAUUAGAUAUCGUUAUUUCUAGUUAAAACAUGUAGGUUCAUAACCUCUCAAGUGACAAAUUUAAGGGGAUUUUCACUCAUUUAAUACAUUAAUUGUAUUUGUUUCUAGAGACGAAGAAAUUCAUUCUUGAAUUGGUGCAUGUAAAUCAAUCCCCCUUUUUUUAUUCCUCUUUUUUUUUUGGUGGUGGAGGUAAGUUCAGUCUUUGUUUGACAAGAACGAAUUACGGUCCACUAACUUGAGCUUCUAGACAACACCCUCGGACGCGUUACGUCUCGCGAGCAUGCCAAGACAAAUCAUCCAAUGGUCAAUUCUGCAUCUCCCUAUGUAGUCACGGAGAAACUUGCGUGUAACACGAUUAAUAUUAUUUUGUUAUUUUCAAUUAAUUAAAUUAUAUCUUUUUAUUUGACAUAACAUAAUUAAUCGUAAAUAGCAAAAAUAUAUAUAAGUUUUUCUGCUAGUCACGAGCUACCCCAAAUCCCAAAACCCCCCGUAUAUAUUCUUUGACUCAAUUAAUUUGUUUCCACCAGGAAACUUCAUCAUCUUCCUCAGUCAAUUAACAAGUCCCAGAUCGUCAUUUCCUUCUCAUCUUCUGCUCUCGCCAUCGUGCCAACUUAUAAUAUUAUUAUGACUUCAUCGUCAAUGUGUGAACAAGUUUAAUACCAACAAGCAAUUUCCAAACAAACCAACCUUUUCCAAAUCACCUCAAUUUCUCAAUUUUUUUAUUCUUCUUACUAAAAUCCCACAACUAUAAUCAAUUUCAUCUUCAUCACUCUCAACUUGAUCAUUGAUCAUCACCAUGGAGUUCUUCAACACCGCCAAGGCUGUGAAGCUCCGCAGCCACCUCGACAAAUACCUCGUCGCCGACGACAAUCAAGAGUCCGUGCGCCAGAGCCGAAACGGCGCCUCCCGAAAAGCCCGCUGGACAGUCGAGCUCGUCGACAACAAAUCCCACGUCGUCCGCCUCAAGAGCUGUCACGGCCUCUACCUCGCCGCCGCCGACCACCCCUUCCUCCUCGGCAUGACAGGCAGAAAAGUGCUCCAGGCGGAAGCCGACAAGAGCAUGGACUUCAAGUUCGAGUGGGAGCCCAUACGCGACGGCUUUCAGCUCAAGCUGCGGACCUGGUGCGGCAAGUACUUGCGCGCCAACGGUGGGCCGCCGCCAUGGAGGAACGCCGUCACUCACGACGACCCUACCACGUCCACCACCCAGAACUGGAUUUUGUGGGACGUCAUCGAGGCCGAGGUCCCGGCUUCCGAGUCUCUCACGGAUUUUUUACUGUCGCAGCAGUCGAGUUUUUCGUCGUUUUCUGAUGAACUUAACGGGUCGGAGUACGGGUCGCCCGUUUCGGUUUUUUCCACAAAGUCGCCUACGCUGCUGUCUCCGAAACCGUCUUCAAAUAAACUCGCUAAGCAGGUAUGUUUUUAAUGUUUAUUGUUUUUUUAAAAAAAAUAUAUAUGAUUAGUUUGAUAAUUGAGUAAUUAAGAAGCUUCAUUUGUUAAUUAUGAUUAAUUGUUGAUUGAUUCUGCAAAAGGGUAGUAGAGGAGAACUAUUUCUCUAUUUCCAUUUCAUUGCAUCUUUUUCCUUAUUUUUCUCCAUGUGUUACUUAUCAGGAUAUGAGAAAGAGAAUUAGAUAAGGAAACAAAAAUAGGGAAGUUUUUCUCGUGGCAGAGGCUUAUAGGUUUAGUGUUUGGAUUAAAUUGUGGUCAUGAUUUUAGGCAUGGAAAGUGUGUUGACAAGUAGCAGUGUGUUGAUAUCUGGUGACUAGACAUAAUGUUUGAUUGAUUAGUUGGGUAUGCAUGUACACUUCUAAAUGUGUAAGUAAGGAAUCUAUAAAGUGUGAUAAACCUAAUUUUGGUGGGAGGAUUUUUGCUCGUUACUUUAACUUAAGGUGUAUGUCUAUUAUUUGUUUUAACGUUUGAUACGUGUCCAUAAGUAUAACAAUAGUUAUAUAAAUUAAAGCAAUAAGUUAACUAUAAUUAUAUCUAUAAAUACGUAUCAAGUAUUAAGAAGGUUGAUGAGCAUACACCUUGAGUUAAAGUGGUGAGCAAAAAUAUCACACGGCAAUUCCUUUUGUGAGUGGGAACUUGGUGUUGAUUUAUUAUGAGAAGAAAGUAGAAAGAAAACGGACCUACUUCAUUUUAAUCUCACAUAUAUAAUAUGAAUCUUACUUUGUGGUUGAAAAUGAAAAGGUUAAUACAAAAUGUGGGAAUUGUGUAUUCUAGAAGCAAAAAGAUGGAAGCUAUCGAAUUUACCUUUUGUUAGUAAAAUAUUGUUUUGAAGUUGCAAUUUUUCACCUCUUUUGUUUGUUUGUUUAAUUACAAUAUUGCAGAUUGAUCUUUGUCUCCUUAUUUGGCUGGUUAUUAGAGAUAUUUUUGUAUGCAAACUGCACACCAACCCUUACGCACUACAACUUAAUGGGCACAGAGAGUGGACACAAAAAACCGCACUACUUUAAACAAACACAAGACAUUUUGGUCAUAAAAAACAUUAUUGAUUGAUUUCAUCAUUUUGAACUUGAUGUAGUUAUACAUCUUUGUCAUAUCUUUGCACUACCAUAAUGAAAGUGGACCAUUCUACCCUCGUAUGCGAACACGUAAUUACUAGUUGUUAUCAAAACUAUAAAUACACAGAAAAGCACGGUAGUGGUAGUAGAUAGAUCAUACCUGUUUUCAGUUGUCAUGAUUUUGAUAUUUCCAGGUAGGUUCACAUGGCUCUGGACAAUGGAUGUCUAGUGGAUUUUCAUACCUUUUUUUUCAAUUGCUUCAAAAUGAAGAUAUCAAUUUAUUCAUUUAUUUAUCUAAGAAAACACAGCAAUUACAAUAAUAAAAAAAUAUAUAUAAAACAAACAAAUUUAAAUAAAAUAAUAAACAAUAAAUGGGCUCGGCCCAGGCCCCUGCAUGCAGUGGGCCCAUCUCAGCCUCCCACACGGAACCUACUACGAAGAAGCCAGGCCACGUAAGUGCCACGUACACAGAACCGCGUUGUACUAACCCGGUUGUGUGAUGGCGCUGACUAGCCUUUGUCUUAGCUCACAAGCACUACAAAUACAAAUGCAAGGAUAGGAUAUCUCAUCCGCUUGCGUGUCUGAAUCCGAAACUGAAAAAAGCCCAAUUAGAUUCAAACCUUCUUCAACAUUUUUCCUUCUCUGAGUUAAAAUCUUCAACUCUAUUUUUUCUGUUCCAAUCAGACCAAUUCGAACAAGUUCAGAAUCGGCAUGAACCUCUUCCAAAACGCCAAGGCGGUGCGCCUCCGCAGCCACCACGACAAGUACCUCCUAGCCGAGGAGGACGAAGAGUCCGUGACCCAAGACCGAAACGGGUCAUCCAAGAAGGCCCGAUGGACCGUCGAGUUCGUACCCGAAUCCGAUACCAUCAUCCGCCUCAAGAGCUGCUUCGCCAAGUACCUCACCGCCUCCAACCAGCCCUACCUGCUCGGCAUGACCGGCCGGAAAGUGCUCCAGACUCUGCCCCGGCGGCUCGACUCCUCGGUGGAGUGGGAGCCCAUCAGAGAAGGCACCCAGGUCCGGCUCCGGACCCGGUACGGCAACUUCCUCCGAGCCAAUGGGGGCCUGCCUCCGUGGCGGAACUCGGUGACCCACGACAUUCCUCACAGAACCGCCACUCAAGAUUGGGUUUUGUGGGAUGUGGAUAUCGUCGAGAUUCAUAUUCAGUCUCCGGUGCAUAAACCUUCGGCCCCACAGCCUCUUCCCCAUUCCGAUUCCCUGGAAUUCGAUUCCAGCUCCCCUUCUGCUGUUUCGAUCAAAUCCGACCAUUUUUCCAGACAAGAGGUUUGUUUAAGAAUUGGGAUUUUCUAUUUUCUUCCUUAAAUCUUUAAAGUUGAAAUCUUUCGAAUUUUGAGUAAUAUUUUUUUCAUGUUGGUGUUGCAGUCGAGUGAUUCUUAUGCGGAGUCGCCACCAAAAUCGGAGGGGAGGACAAUAUAUUACCAUAUAGCUGAAGAUAAUGGUGAUGUGGACGAUGAAGCAGCGCAGGGUUACUCUAUGACCUUCAAAGGAAAUGGGGUUGAAGAGUUGACUCGUAAACUGGAGGAAGAGACAGGAAUUGAGGGUCUCAUUGUGUGUGCUCGAAGCCCUUUGAAUCGCCAGCUCUUUCCCCUUCGCUUGCAGCUUCCCCCAAACAAUGUCACUAUGCAGGUUGUUCUGGUGAUGUCAAGUUCAAAAGGUGAGCCUUUUAUUAGUUUCUAGCUUGUUAACAUAAUCUGUUCUCGGACUUGGAAUGGUUUUCUGAUUUGUUUUGUUUUACAUUUUGAUGCAUCAGUUGGGCAAUCUCUUGCAAAACAAGGUUUAUUAUAGGAGGGAGGUAUCAAAUGGAAAUCAAAGUUUUGGUCAGGCUACUGCGUCUUCUGUACAUAUCGAUUAAGACUUGUUUGUAUGUUAAAUCUUAAAAGAAUUCGAAUCAACGAUAAUGGGGGGAAGCCCUUUCUUUAGUUGAUGUCUUGGCUAUGGUGGAAGGACAUAUGCUAACGUUGUUGCCUUGAAAUGUAUGAAUUCAUGGCUUUGUUCCUCCUCCUCCUGCUGCCAGUUCUUCCUGUGACAAUUAUUUGUGGAUUAAUCAUUUAUUUAUUUAUUUACGUAUUUUGGUGGCUUAAACAUGUGCUACUUUGAAAUCUGAGGAACAUGAUUUAUCCCACCCAAGACUUUCUCCCGCUUUAAACGCAGGUUAUUGAUAGACCCCUAAUGGGAAACAGGUGAAGAUUCUUUGACCCCAAACCAAACCCACGAGCUAAUUUCUUUUUUAAUUAUUGUUUAGAAUGUGACUUGUUCUCUCACAACAACGUGCGAAGGCAAACGCCAAGCCUCUUGCCUGAAAAAUGUCGACGAAAUGUUGGCAAAUAGCCUUUUUCUAUACAUUUGCUGACUCGUGAUACAAUCAUACAACUAUGAAAAGUUACCAAUAAUCCAUACAAGAGCAGAUGCCGUCUCUGAAGUGAUGAAAUCGAGCACGAUCUCUCAUGAUAAUCUCCAUGUUGAAUAUUUUACAGAUCAAUUUGGUUACCUUAUGGCAGUCAUUGCAUAUCCUCAGGUUCUUGAAUAUGCGUAUAGGCACGCCAGGGUUCAAGCUCAAGAGCCCAAAAGCAAUGGCUAUUCUCUCACUAGGUCAUGACCCCUUAUUCAAGCCUUUCUUUAAACACAUCCAGAACCCUAUAUAUUUCUCUACUGCGAGGGUGAGAUAUGUCCCCUGCAAAAAAUUCAUGGGUAACACCAUCUAUCUCUAUCAAACUACAGCCGGGCUCUUUCACUACACCGUCAUCUGUCAUUAGUUUUCUAAUCGAUCCAACGUCGUUCCAACGGCUAGCUGAAGCAUAUACUCUUGACAGAAGCACGUAAACACCACUAGAAACACCUCCUAGGCCUCCUGUAGACUCGAGGAUCUGCCUGGCCACUUCUUCACUUAGCUCAACACUAGCGUGCUGCUUACUACAUGCAUCAAGAAGACUCCUCCAUAUUACAAUGUCGGGUUUCAUGGGCAUUGUUGUCACCAAAUUCAAUGCUUCGUAGAUGAAGCCGGCACGUGCCAAGAGAUCAGCUAGGCAUCCGUAGUGUUCUAAUCGGGGUUCAAUCCUGUACUUGUUUACCAUCAUUUCGAAAAACUUGCGUCCUUCGUUUACCAUGCCUCUGUGAUUACAUGCACUCAGAACACCAACAAAUGUGAUAGAAUUGGGCGCAAAGGUCUCCCUUUUAACCAAACGUUCAAAAUAUUUCAAGGCAGCCUCAGCUUGACCAUGCAUGGCAAAUCCUAGAAUCAUAUAAUUCCAUGUACUUACAUCACGUUUUGGCAUUCUGUCGAAGACUUGCUGAGCAAUUUCCAAGGACCCACAUUUGAAAUACAUAUCAAUCAACGAAGAGUUUAUCAAAACAUCGUUAGCCAGACCACCAUCACACUUCCUCAACACAUAAGCAUGAGCCCACAUCCCAAAAUACAAAGCACCCAAACCAGCACAAGCAUUUAUAAUGCUCUGCAUUGUGUACCCAUCGGGCUCAAACAUCUUCUGCAUUUCACCAAACAGUUUCAGCGCAGUCUCAAACUCGCCAGCCCGAACAAACGAAUCAAUCAUAACAUUCCAGGACACAACGCUUCUUUCGCGCAUUUUCUCAAACACCUUCUUCGCCAAUUCCAAACGCCCACAAGAAGCGUACAAAUGAAUCAAACUGUUGUUAAUAUAAACAUCCGAAUCAAACCCAAGUUUAACAGCGUUGGCAUGCGCUUGUUUCCCUUCGGACAAGGCAAACAAGUAGGCACAAGCUCUAAGAACAAAAGGGAACGUAUAUUGAUCGGGCAUAGCAACCCCGUCAGCUAACAUUCUACAGUAAAGCAACAUGGCCUGCUCUUCGCGCUGAGAGCUUCGUGCGCAGGCCCUGAGGAGAGUGUUCCACAUGAACGAAUUGGGGUUCUCAAUCUGAUUGAAAACCCGAAACGCGUAGUUGAUAUCGGCGAGCGAAGAGAAAUGGAGAAUUCGGCUAUGGAGGAAGAGGGUGUGUGGGUUUGUGGUCGAUGUGGCGCGCAAUGUGUGAGCGUGUAUCUGCUUGAGCUGAGACAUGUCCGUACACUCGUUCAACAGGUGGAGAAGAUGGGUGUGGAGGUGGGUGCGUGAGUCUCCAUUAUUGGAGCUGUGAAGAGGGAGAUGAUGAUGAGGACGUGGGGUUGGUGUGAUUGCCAGGACCAUUGCCGCGCUGCCAAAUCUUUGCAACGCCGUGAGAGAUCAUAAGCACACUGUUAUUUUAUCUUUUAUGAAAAAAUCACCUAUAUAUUUUUUGUCGUGUGAAUAUGAAAAUAUCUACAUAUUUUAUUAUGCAUACGAAUAUUAUAUGUAUUUCUUUGUCAAUUAUUAAAUUUAAAUUACUGUUUAUCAUUGUGGGGACUUUUUCGUUCCGGCAGCUACUGCAAGCCUGGGCUGUUGUAAAGAGCCAAAUGUGUGAAAAUUGCCCAUUGGUCUGAGUUCAAGAAUUAGACUCCAAAAAUACUUCGAAAAGGUAGCUGAGCCUUAGUCAGCACUUUGAUUACCUUCACCAGCAAAACUAAUAGUCGCUUACAGAUAAAUACUUAGCUUGACAUGAGAGGCUUGUGGCAUGGAAGCAAAUGAGUCAUGCGUUUAGCAUUAAAGAGAGAGAGGGUUGUGAUUUCCAAUGAGAAACAAGGGUUUAAGGUAAGGGAAGAAGGGUAUUUUGAGAGGAUUCGUUAAAAAGAGAGAGAGAGAGAGAGAGAAAGAGAGAGAGAGAUGAGAAGAACAAUGAGUGUGUUGAGUAAUUUUCUGGCAGCCUGACAAAAGCUAUGUCAGACUCUGAAAUGGCUUGCCAUAAGAGAAAAUGGGAGGAGAUGGAGGAAUAGGGCACGAAAUUGCAGGGCUUUAGGAGUGAGAGAUAAUACUUGCUCUCUGGAUGUGGGUUAUAGCUAGUGGUGAAGUAGUGGGUGUGAUUUUUGAUGAUGGGUAGGAAAUGCCUAUUUGUAUAGGCGCUGAAAACUCUUUCUUCCCAAGAAACCCUAGAUGGUUCCUCUCAAAUCUGCCAAGUCUCUCUCCCCCCCCCCCCCUUUUCUCUUCUCUUCUUUUGAUUCAUUCCUAUUUUGUGAAAUAUUCCUUAGCCCAAACACUCAAAGACAAGAUUUUUGGAGGCUCUAGAGCCUUCCCGCAGCUGUUUCAGUGGCAAUCUCCUAUCUUUGGUUAUCAUAUCUCUUUCUUUUCUCCCCUAUCAUGACAAGAGCUGGUAGGAGAAAGAGAUGGGUAACAAUGUUGGUCUGAAGGGUGCUGCGUGCACUAAUAUCCUUUGGUUCUUCAAGUGGUUUGCCUUGGGUUUGUUUCUUGACCAUGUGCUGGAGACUCCCAGCUGUCCACUUUCGUGAGUGGCUUUUGGCUUCUGUAGUUGUUUUGUCUCCAGCUAUGUGCUAGAGACUUUCAUAUAUUUUCUUGGCCAUUUGGGCCUUCCUAAGGUGAUGGGUUAGUGUACUAAAGGAAUGGGCCAGCCUCCUAGAGUGAUGGACCAUUUUUAUUAGAGUGAUGGGCACAUUUUAUAAAGUAAUGGGCUACCUAUUUCCUAAAGUAUUGGGCUAUUUUCCUAAAGUAUUGAGCUUUUUUCUCUCCUUUAUGCUCACCCACAUAUUUGGGCUCAAGAAAUGGGCUUGAGUUUUGGGACUUCGAAGCAGCCCAAAACUUCCAUUUCUUGGUUUAUCAAUGGGCCUCAUGAAAGCUCGUUACCAUCCAUACCACAACCCACUCAGCAAGCUCCGGGCAUUUGCAUGGCUUGAGCCCACUUAAGCUUGUAGCCUAGCUAUGUGUAAAAUAAUGAUUUUCCGCUUGGCAUUGCAUGUCGAUUGAUGUGCUUGAAUUUUAUCGUCUUUGAAAAGGGAUAUUAUGCUUGACGGGAUAAUUAGCAUGAGUUUGUAGAGCCAGUGCCUUUUAUAGGCUUAUUUCAAUUCUUAGCGUGACGAAUUGCAUAUUUUGGCAUGGCACAUGGUCGUGGCUUGUGCAAGUGUGCAUGACGAACUUUCGCAAACCCAAAUUGGGUUUCUUCUCGGUAAAGUAUCGCAUUGGGCCUGGAAUUUAUUUGGGCCAAACCUUGAAUUUUUUAGGUCUCAACAAUCCAGUUUGACAUUGCUGUACUGUGAAAAUAAUCGAUGUCAGAUUUGUUGUGAGAGAAAUCAGUUUAGCGUUAGGUAAACUUUUUGUUAAAAGUGUUGUUGGUACAAUAAUCAGUUUCUAAGUGUCUGGUAAAUUUUUUGUGUGAAAGUGUUGUGAGCGUUGUAUAAUGACUAAAAAUGGUAUUAUGUUAGAGUGGCUCCAGCGAAGGAGCCCAGCCCGAGGUAAGGGCAGAAAAAAAAAAAAAUUUCGCUCCAGCGUGCAGCCCAGGCCCGGGUUUGGUGUGGGACCCACCAACUCGGGCCAGCCCGAAGGCCAAACCAGCCCCAGGUCCAAAACGCGGGUGCUGACGUCAGCGCUGGCGUCACGCUGACGUCAGCUAGGGCUGUCAAAAAUUUUUUACCGUUGGCGCGUGCAAUGCACGCGCCAACGGUAAAAAAAUUUUGAAUCAGCGCGCGCUGACGCCAGCGCCAACGGUAGGCUGCCACGUGUCGCGCUCAGUGCCUUCCGAUCUGCUUCUCCUUUCUAAUCCAACGGCUGAGGCUUUUUUGGGUGAAAAAAAUAUGAAAAAAAAUUCUAAAAAAUUCUAAAAAAUUCUGGUAUUUUUUUCUAUAAAUACCUAUCAAUACCCUUCACUUUCAACACCAAUACUCUUACAUUUCAUUAUACUUCUACUAAUAUUCACUCUUUUUACACAACAUUUUCCUCUUUUUCAUCUAGCAUUUUGAUUUCAUAUUUUUAUGGCUUCUUCUAUCGAAACCGGAGGGGCUUGGAGCACAAUGGAAGAUGUUUCUUUGUGUGAGGCUUGGCUCCAAAUUUGUCAUUGUCCCGUGUCCGGCAAUGAAAUGAAAUUUUUUCAUAUGUGGAAAAAAAUUCAUGCCGAAUUUUGUGAAAAAAUUCCGGGGUCUACUCGUACGGAGAUGGCAUUAUCCAGUAGGUGGAAAAUUCUCAAUAAAGAGUUGGGAAAAUGGAGAAAUGCCCUAGCAAAAGCGAUGGACAACUAUAGAAGUGGGCAAAAUCGUACUAACGAGGUAAGUAUUUUAUAAUUUUUGUGUUAUUAAGUUUAAUCUCCUAAUAUAUAUAUUUUGUUAAUAUUGCUUACAUUUUCAAUAUGUUGUAUAUAUUUUGUUAAUAUUGCUUGCAUUUUCAAUAUUUUGUUAAUAUUGCUUGCAUUUUCAAUAUUUUGUUAAUAUUGCUUGCAUUUUCAAUAUGUUGUAUAUAUUUUGUUAAUAUUGCUUGCAUUUUCAAUAUUUUGUUAAUAUUGCUUGCAUUUUCAAUAUGUUGUAUAUAUUUUGUUAAUAUUGCUUGCAUUUUCAAUAUUUUGUUAAUAUUGCUUGUAUUUUUAAUAUGUUGUUAAUAUUUCUUGCAUAUCCAAUAUAUUUUAAAUAUUUAUUGCAUUUCCAUUUUUUUGUUCAAUAGAUGAUUCAAGCACAAAUGUGGUUCGGUGCAACCGGGGGUGGCAAAAAAAGUUUCACCCAUCAUGAAUGUUGGGAGGUGGUGAAAUUUUGCAAACGCUUCGUAAUUAUUCCAACGGGUCCGGAGGUUGUGUUAAACGAGACGCCACUCCGUGAUUCAAUGACAUCGGAUUCACCUCUUUAUUCUCCUAUGAGUCAAGACUCACCCAUCGAAAAGGAGCCGAGGCCCAUUGGCCGAAAGGCCGCGAAGGCAAAGAAGAAGGGUAAUUCAAGCAAUCAAAAUUCACAAUUUUUGGAGGAAAUUGCAAGGCAAAACGGCAUAAGAAUAGAAAUGGAGCAAAAACGCCAAGAGCACGAGUUGGCCCUUGAUGCUGAGUUUGCACGUGAAAGGGAGUAUUUGCGCAAAAAAGAUAUGGACAAGACAGAUCGGGAAACCAUGGCGAUGAAUACAAGUCAUAUGUCCCCUGAAACAAAACAAUUUUGGAAGCUAGAACGAAGGGAUGUUAUGAGAAGAAGACUUUUCCGGGAUGAUGGGCCUAGCAACACGGAUUGGUUAAAUGAUGGAAACCAUUAAAUUAGUUAGCAUAUCUUUUAUGUAUUUGUAUUUUAGUUGUUUUCUAUUAAAGUUGUUAUAAUUCAUGUAUUUUAUUUUAUUAGUAAUUCAUAAUGACUUGUAUUACAUUUCAUUAUUUAAUAAACAAAGCAUUCAAUAAAUUACCUUUUUAUUCAACAUAUUCCAUACUUCAAACAAAACAUAAUAAAAAUAAAAUUAAAAGUACAAACAAGGCACAAUAAAAAUAAAAACACAACCAAACCAUACUAAAUAAAACAUAAGCAAAGCAUCUAUUCUCCAUCAUUAAUCUUCAUUGCCUUUCACCGCCCAUAGAUGCUCCAUCAAGUGAAAUUGACGCAUUUCAUGAAUAUACGAAGAUUGCAUCUCCGUAUAUCGAUCUAUCAUUCGGGUCAUCAAAUGACCAUCCCUCACCAACGGUUCCGGCUCAAACGGUUCUCCAUUUGGCCCCAUGGGUCUUUCAUAAAUCCGUGUCAAAGCCGUGUUCAUUGGAUCCGGUUCGUAGACCUCUAAAGCAUCAUAAUCGUACUCAUCCUCCACAAUCAUAUUAUGGAGGAUGAUGCAAGUCAUCAUAAUGCUUCUGAGGAUCUCCUCAUCAAACAUGCGGGCCGCACCUCGAAUAAUCAACCACCUGGCUUGAAGGAUGCCAAAACACCUUUCGACAUCUUUCCUAUAUCCCUCUUGAUAUGUAGCAAAUAAUUUUUGCUUCUGGGAUCGGGGAUUUGGAAUGGUUUUGACAAAAGUCGUCCACCUCGGGUAGAUUCCAUCAGCUAGGUAGUAUCCUGUCUGGUAUACUGUAUUGUUGACUUCAUAGGUGACAUUGGAGCCCUGACCUCUCAAUACAUCGUUGAAGACGGGGGAUUGACCCAGCACGUUGAGGUCAUUUUGUGAUCCUGCAACUCCGAAGAAGGCAUGCCAAACCCAUGUGUCGAAACCAGCAACCGCUUCAAGGAUGAUACUUUUUUGGCCUUUUCGAUUUCCAUAAUCACCUUGCCAGGCAGUUGGGCAAUUCUUCCAUUGCCAAUGCAUGCAGUCAAUGCUACCAAUCAUUCCAGGGAAUCCUCGAGCUUCGGCUUUUUGCAGAAGCCGUUGGAGGUCCCUGGGAGUAGGUCUACGCAGGUAGUCCCUAGUGUACAGAGUUUCAACAGCUUGACAAAAUCUUACCAAAGCCUCCAACGUAGUGGACUUCCCCAUCCGGGCAAUCUCAUCCACCUGAUCAGCAGAUGCUCCAUAUGCCAACAUUCGUAUAACAGCUGUAAGCUUUUGCUCCGGAAGAAGCCCCAAAACCCCAGCAGCAUCACACUUUUGAACAAAGUAUGCAUCAUAAUUGCAAAUAUCAUGCAUGACUUUAUUGAACAAAUGAGGUUGCAUUCUAAAUCGCCUUCGAAAAUCAACAUCAGAGUACAAAGAAGUUGGGAUAAAAUAAUCUUCCAAAAGAUUCUUACCCCUAGAAUGCCUAUGUCUUUCCACAUUCCGGCGGCGGCCGGCUUGUGAACUAUGGCGGCGACCUUGGUUCUCUUCUUCUUCCAAAGCCACUGUUAUGAGAACUUGCUCAUCGACUUGUCUCUGCAACUCAUUGACUUCAUCUGCUCUACGGUUUCUCUCUCUUCUUUCUCUCUCUUGUCUCUCCAAGCAUCUCCUAAAUUCUUCCAUUCAGAAUGAAUGAAGUAUGAAUUAUAAACUCUCAGAAAUGAAAAUAUAGAAAGAUGUGGUGUGAGAGGUAUGAGCUGAGACUCUGGUUUUAUAGAAAAAUUUGGCAAGAUAGACAUGCCACGUGGCUUGAUUUUAUUGGAUGAAAAUCAUAUCUGAAAUUUGAAAUUCAUCCGAAAUUUGAACCCUAAUUUGUAUGAAAUUCAAAAUUUGAAAUUCAUCCGAAAUUUGAACCCAAAUUUAUCUGAAAUUUGAAUGUUGAAAUUCAUCCGAAAUUUGAACCCAAAUUUAUCUGAAAUUUGAAUUUUGAAAUUCAUUCGAAAUUUGAACCCAAAAAUUUAUCUGAAAUUUGAACUUUGAAAUUAAUCCGAAAUUUGAAUCCAAAUAUCUUAUCCGAAAAUUUUAUCUGAUUAUGAAUAGUCUUGACACGUAGGAAUCCGAAAAUCUUAUCUGAAAAUAUUACCCAAAUUAAUUAUUUUCAUUAAAAAAUAGGAGGAAAAAACAAAAAAGUGAAUAGUAAUUGCCAUGGCUAAGGGCAACGGGUGGAGAAACGAUUUACUAUUUGCAAGGGCAACUACUAUUCACGUGAAUAGUGCUUGCCCUAGCUCCACCCUUGCCAUGGCUAAGGGCAAAUGGGUGGAGUUGCUCUUAAAAUGAUUUUUUUGUUCAAGUGUUUGAUAAAAGGGAAAGCAUUUUUACCUUCACUUAUAUAUAUAUAUAUAUAUAUAUAUAUUGUAUUAAAUAUGUUUCCAUCACACCUUAAAAAUUAUUUUAAUUAUAAAAUAAAUAAAUUAUUAUGUUGAAAAUUAAAUAUUUGUAUCCAAAUGCUCUAAACUAAUGUUUUAAGUUAAAUCCAAUAUAUUCCAUUAAAAAUAAAUAUUCAGUCAAUAAUAUAGUCAUAACAAAAAUUAAACAAGAUGAACUCAUUAAACUUGAAGCUAUAUGAUUUCUCAAUUCCUCCAUUUCUUGUGCUAUAGGACUAUCUUCUUGUUAUGCAUCAAUGCUGACAAUUUUCGAGAUCCACUUACAACAUUUUCAGUUGUGGUAAAGUUACUAUUCUUUUUUGUCAUCUUAUUGCAACAAAAACAUUAUAUAUAUAUAUAUAUAUAUAAGCACAAAAGAAUGGAAUCAUAGAUAUAUCUUAACUUAUAAAUGCUUAAGGUGUAAUGAGAUUACCCAGAAAAAACAAGUACAAUUUAUUCCCUUUAUGUGUAGAAGAAUGAAUAGAAAAGGUGGUCACCAACUCAUAAAGGCAAAAUACCAGAUCCAUCCUUGCUAAUUUUCUCCACCCCACAGCCCACAGAAAAAGUAUUGAAUUAUGCACUCUGCUGCCCACAUCUUUUAUCCUAAUAAGAAUACCCAAGCAUACUCUGUUCCAUCAAUAAAAAAAUUAUUCUCUACCAUGGAAAUUAGAAAGCACCAGGCAAAGUCCUCUAAAAUCUCACCAACCAAUCCCACAAGGCAACAUUAUGCAAUUAAGGCAGCCAACAAACACUUGUCCUCAGUCAAUCACCAUAGCCCUUAACCCAACAUACAGACACUCAUGAAAAUCAAGAUUUUAAACAUUAAAAAACAAAAAAAAAACAAAAAAACAGAAAUAUAUUGUUCAUAUAAGCUUCAAAUUGCAAUUAGUUUUGGAGAACCAUGAGGGUGAAGGCAAAAAAUGCAAGAUGGUAAACACACAACAAGAAAAACAAAAUGCUUAUAUUAUGAAGAAGGAUUUGAAUAAAUCAAUAAAACUGGAAAGCAAUACCUUUGGAAAUUGGAACUCUCUGCAUAAAGAAGAAUAUAAUUUUAGAGCAACUCUAAAAUAAUUUGUAUACCCUUCCGAGACAUAUAGAGGUAAGCCAACUCUGCUGCUAGCUAAGUAUGGUAUCAUCUACCCACAAAGGCAAGCCACAACUCACAAGGAAGCCAAAGACACAACUUAGGACUCCAAAAUAACAAGAAGAACAACAAGCGAAUUACAAAACAAACCAAACUAGCCACAACUCAUAGGAAUACAAACCAAACUAAAGCCAAUCUAAUCCCCUGUAUAGGCUAAGUAGAAAAACAACAAUAAUAAAUAGCUACACAAAUCUCCAAACGCAAGGAUUACAAAGCACCAUAAUCUGAAGAAAAAAUAAUAAUAAACAAGGAAACAAAAACAUGAACAAAAAAAGAAAAGAAAAAAAAAACCAACAACAACAACUAUUGAAGUUAAAACCCUAGAAAUUAAAGAGAAAGAGGGAAGAAAUAAACAUAAUAUGCGUCAUACAUGAGUCUUGUGGCUUCUCAGGAGUGUGAUUCAUUUGAUUCAGCAAGAAAAAAAUAAUAGGAAGAAUACAAGAGAUUCGAGAGAAUGAGAACUCUGUGAAAGAGAUGACGUGAAGAAGCAAAGGGAUGCGAAGGAGAAGACGCACGAUGAGAAGAGAUUCCGUGAAAAUAGAUUGGGGUAUUUUCGGAAGUUUGUAAAUUUCAUUAAACCAAACGCUUCUUCGAAACUGAUUCCCGUAUAAUCAGCAAAUGAAAGCACCUCAUUAGCUGUUUUCCCUUAUAAUUUUCUCUUACAACAAUUUUAACGAUAAGUGAUUUUCUCAUAGUUUACCAAACGGAUUGGGGUUCUCAAUUUUUUUUAAAAAUCACUUAUCACCCCAAAUAAAUAUUGCCAAACGACACUAAAUAAUAACUCUAUGCUUGUAUUGUUCUCAUUCAAGUGGCAGUGUCCGACCGUUACUUUUAAAGAGUAAAACUAAAAGCACACUUAGAAAAUAAAGACAUUUUCACCUUUGACCUUCUCUAUACCUACAAAAUUAAAGAAGAUUUCCUAAUUAAAUUCAUAAGCCAAACUCUCCAAGUCCUUUAAACUUUCCAGUUUCCAGAGUUACUUUCCUAAUGGAAUUGGAAAACCACAACUUUCGCUUUUAUCCAUCUUUCCAUUUUGUAUUACUUUCCUAAUACAAGAGUUAGAAGGAUUCCUACUUCAUUGUGAAAAGGAUUAUUUGAGAAUUUCUUGAUAGGUAAGACUCUUAAGUAGAUGCAUAUAAAUACAAUUGCUCAUGCUCAAUCAGUUACGCAACCUACACUAAAGUAUUCACCUAUCUUAAAUGAGUGUGUGAGGAAUCAAAUUGAGGAGAAGAUCACGUGUACCAAUUUUACAUAUCUCGACAACUUUGUGGCAAAUCAAGGUAAGUAUUUUUAGUUGCUUAGGCUUAAUAAGUUCUACAUUUUGAUCAUCACGUUUGAGAGCGACCUACCACCCCCACCAGAAUAAGGCCAAAGUAGGCUAAGCUUUACCACCACCCUACUCAUCGGGCCAUCUGUGCCAUUUGAUCAUGUGAAUGAUGAUGAUAUCAUGACCUCUAUGGUGGCAUCCAAUACAAAAGUUGCACUCGUAAGUUGUAGGUAGUCAAUCUCCUUUCUAUGAAGAAGAAGAAAUGCUUUUGAUUACGUUUCACAAAAACUUUAAAACGCUUGAGAUUUAUAAAAGUACUCUCUUUAGAAAUAUUCGCAAACAAUAGUAAAAUUUAUGUAUUCUUGUUUUAUUGUCUCUCUCUAUCUCUCGUUUUUUUGGAUAGGUGAUAUGACGUAAAAGUGGGUGUGGUCUGGUCUGAUUCAUAAAUGACCUAAUUUCAUACAAAAAUAGAUAAUUGGGCCUAGGAAAGAGAGGUGCUUUGAUGUUGAACUUGGGGAAAUAUUAGUUAUGAGAUUAGAAAUUUAGCAUUGAACUUAAAUAUUUUUUUAAAAAAAAAUAAAAAAAUAUAUGGCCGGUCCCUGUCCGGUGUAAGGUGUGAAACUAGCAUCAAACUGAUUUGAACCAAUCUGGUUUAGUUCGAUGCUAGUUUGUUGACUUUUUUAGUCCACACAUUUUUUUUCGAGUUUUUCUUUCCAAUAUGACUUAAUGUUCUAAUUUUCUGAUCUCGAUGUCCACUCCUAAUAUUACGUAGGGAAGUUUCUCUUUUCAAAAGGACUUAAGAGACAUUGUUAGACUUCGAAAUGCAAAGUAGCAUUGACAUUGACAAUAACUCCUUGUCCAAUAAGCAAAGUAACAACUAACACCAUUUGCAUUGCUGCUUUCGUAAUUCAAUCCAAUUCACCACUUGACUUGCCAGCUGCAUUAUUAUUAAAAGCCACAAAGUCGGUCGACACCACAAAAUUACAACUAUACUUUACAAGAAAGAAUAAAUUGGAUCACACAUACUCACAAUGUCACAUAGCAAAGCUUGGAAGAGGAAAGGGCGGCGUAAUGAACAAUCAAUAAUUAAAUUAAAUUAAAUUAAAUUAACUAAAGUUAACUAAAUAAAAAAGUAGAAAACGGUGUCGUGUUGUGGAAACAUUACGUGUCCAGAGAUGGCGGCCAUCUAUCACUCAUUCUAUGUACCUCACCUCAUCACCAGCAUCAACGACCGACCAGAAUCUGUGCAACUGUAAAUAUUUUCUUUUAAUUCUUAAAAAAACCAAAAACAAAAAGAAACAAAAAAAAGUCUACAAAGAUACUUUGUUUCUUCAAGCUCCCCCCACUUGACUGCACGUUGUGGUUUUUAUUUAAUGUUAAUACCAACUGUGUCCUUCUUGCUCCUGGAGCAACCUACCUUAUCGACAACAACAACACUGACGAAACGCGUACCAAACUAAGCGCUCAAAAAUCUCCACACUCUAAAUCUAAAACUAGAAAAACCGCGUUUCGUUUCGUUUGGAUUUUGCUCGCCAUGCACUUCCACAACCGGCCCACUCGCCGAUUUUUCUCUCCGAUUGCCCCCAUUUCAUAAUUCUGGUUUUUCAAAUUCAAACCCGCAGAUAUCGACAUUCUUCUCUUUUAAUUCACAGCGGAAAAUUAAGCGGAGCCGUUGAUUCGAGAAUCAGAUGGGCGUGGACUUCUACAACGUGCUGAGAGUGAACCGGGACGCGACCCAGGAGGACCUGAAGAAGGCGUACAAGAGGUUGGCGAUGAGGUGGCACCCGGACAAGAACCCAGUUGACAACGAAGGAGCAGAGGCCAAGUUCAAGCAAGUUUGCCAGGCCUACGAUGUCCUCAGCGACCCCCAGAGGCGUCAGAUCUAUGACAUCUACGGCGAGGAAGGGCUCAAUUAUGG